rnacentral:lncRNA from 1 species
UGAAACGUUUUGCGGUGGGUCAAUCCUUUCUAUUUCAAAAGGAUUCCUCAAUGCAAACAACUGUUUCAGGUGACACUGUCUCCAGAUUCCAACAUCCUCAAUAUUCUUAAACUGGUUAACAGAGAGAUCAAGCUCUAGAAGGUUAGCCAUAAUAGGAACCGAAGAAUGCAGCAUGUUUCCUGAGAGAUCAAGGACUCUUAAGGAACUCAUGUUACUGAAAACAGAUGGAAAUAUGCCUUCAAUUGAAUUUCGGCUAAGAUCCAGGUGUUGGAUGUUAGAAAGCAUACUGAUAUUAAAAUGAGCGGAAGAUAGAAAAGUCUUAUUAUCUAGCCAACAACUUGAAAAAUGCAGCUCUGAUAAAGAGGAAGGGAUCAUGUUUAGCAAGUUUGCAAAGUUCCAUGCCAAACUAAGACUAAAACCAGAAAGAUCCAGAAAUUCAAGGGAUGUCAUGUUUCGGAAGAAUCCAGGGAGUGGACCUUUGAAAGAAUUGGAGCCAAGAUCAAGGUGUUUUAUGUUGGCAAGAAUUCUACUUGAAUUAAGAAAAGGACCAAGAUGGACAUUGGAAAGUCCACAACCACGCAAACUUAACUCUUUUAACGAAGGAAGAUUGUAAAGCACCAUGCCCAUGUUCUUUGCUCCGCCAAGAUCCACAUCACUCAAGUCGAGAUGCUCGAGUGAUGUAACGCCAAAAGUCCAUGACAUAUCAUCUGACAUCAGCUCAUCAUUCCAACUGAGAUCCAAAACCUUUAAAUUAGAAAGAUUUCCAAUGUGGGGAGGAAUAAUACCUUGAAAACCAGCAGCAGAGAGAUUGAGGUACAUCAGCUGUUUGAAGGAUCCAAUGAACUCAGGGAACCGGCUUCCUCCAAAAUCAUUCUGACUCAAGUCCAGGUACUUGAGAUGCCUCAACUCAGCCAAUGAAGAGUUCACCUCAUAACUAACUAAGUAGCUUUCUCCUUCACCAAAAUAGUAAUCUCCUCUGAGAUUGAGGCUGUCAACGGUUCCAGUGAGACUGUCACAGUGGAUUCUUUCCCACUGGCAACAAUCCUUACCCACCCAUGAAGACAACAUUCCGUAACGAUCUUCGAUGACACUCCCUUUGAACCUGAGAAGAGCAAGUCGUUCNNNNNNNNNNNNNNNNNNNNNNNNNNNNNNNNNNNNNNNNNNNNNNNNNNNNNNNNNNNNNNNNNNNNNNNNNNNNNNNNNNNNNNNNNNNNNNNNNNNNAAGAAUCCUUGGAAAACUUGGAAGCCAAUGGAAAUUGUGCCCAGAAUUACACUCCUCUAGUGACUAGUCCCUAUGCACACGGAAAUGUCCUAGGGAUACAAAAAUUGUUCUAACACAACUUUAUUUGAAUAAGAAAUAUCCAUUGGUAGUUUGCAGCACAUUUAAGUGUGAUUUAAACAAGUCAUUAGUAUAUUUUGCUAAUCAUACAAGACUUGAUAUCUCGUUCUCUGUAGAUUUAGUUUGUUGGUCCGGAAGUAUCACAUCAAUGUACAUGUAUAUGUAUUUUAGUGUAUCUAUAUGUAUAUCAAUGUAUGUGUGUGAGUAUUUGUUGGUGUAUCAAUGUACAUGUAAUAUACUAAUAUGUCUACCAAUGGAUCCUACAAACAUGUUUAACUUUAACAUCACCCGUAAUAUUGUUCUUAUGAGACAUGACAAACACACAUUUCAUAAAGGAACAACAUAACAUGUCAAGUGUACUAACCUUUAGAAGAUGUUGCAAUCAGCAUAAUUAAUGCUUGAAACUUGAUACAACCACUGAGACAUCCAAUAUGAUCAACAAGUCACCUGAAACACCACAAAAGCAAUCAACAAAAAUGCUUAAUACCACCAAACUCAACAACAACAAUCACCAGCAACCACAUAUAUGAUAAACAGUAAUUAUGAUAAACAAACAAGCUUACUCAUUAUUAUCAGAUAGUCAAUUCAUUCUGCUACAUAUAUGAUCUCUACUUUUGGUAUAUGUUCAAAACAAAACCAAAGAAGAAAUGCACAAAAAUUAUCACUACAAAAGAAAACUUGAAGAAACAAGGUUAGGGACACUAGAAAACAUAUGAUGUAAAUAAUGAUCGAGAGCAUGUACAUUGCACCCUUGAAUAUAGCAAUCAAGAAUCAUCACUGCACAAGUUAACUGCAAGAAGCAAUAUGGUACAAAUAUCUGACUUAGAAAGAAUAGUGCCUACUGAAAAAGGUAUACAGAACUCAAACUUUAUCUCAUACAUUUUCAUAAGAAUAUAGCUUAUCAGUGUUAAUUAUGAAGUAUACUUAGUUUAACUUGUUAAUACUAUAAUUUAACAGUUCUUAUUAUGGUUAAUAUUGAAAGAGAAAAAAUGAAAACAAAUAUAUUCCACUUUUAUUGUUAUUCCAUGGAAAACAAAACUAGUAUCAAGAAUUCAGGAAUGAAUAUCAGUCUAACAAACAGUGGCAUGAAGUAACUAUAUUCAGGUUAACUUAAUUUAAUUAAUAUUAUCAAUUCUUAUAUAUGAUAAGUUCAAAUGUUAAUUAACAUAUUCCAUAACUGAUAUUUUGUAAUUUUUACAUAUGUACUAUCAUAGAAACAUCACAGAUUUAAUCUAAUGAAAGAGAAAGAGUGUAAAACAAAAAACGAUGUCUUUAUCAAUGCCAUAAAUCAUGAAGAUUUUAUUUUCAUUUCCUAAAAUAUAACUUCUCAAAGAACUUCUGCUUAACCCUCAACUUUCAUUUUACCCUCAGUCGGUCCUCUAAGUUGCACUUCUUCAUGAAAUUAAAUACAGUAUGAUUUUGAGGGACAAUUCCAACCCAUUUAUAGGUAAAUGGACGGUCAUUAAAUGUUUAUUAAAAUUUAAAAGAUUAAUAUUUUACCUUUUUAAAUUAUUUUAUAACAGCUUUCCUGAAAUUUUUACUUUUUACUAGCUAAAAUAGGAUAUCCAUAUAUAAAGAUUUCUCUUUAUAAAACCCAUUAUUCAACCGAUGAAAAAAAAACAAAAUACAAACAUUGAUUUUUCCUUCUAUUAAGUCGAUGAAAUAACAAUUCAAUGGAAAAAACAAUAUCACAAAUAUGCUUUAAGAUAAAUUUUCAUGAUUAUCAAUAAUAUCAAUAUAAAAGAAGCUUUGAAAUGGUGAAUCUAUAUUUGUUCAACUAAUUGUUAGAUACGUAUAAAAAAAAUUGAACUGGGCAUGUAACCUUUACACAUUAUUUGGUACUCUCUCUUUAUUAGAACUAAUGCUGAUUUUUAUUAAAUGACAAUGUUGUUAUUUACCAAAUUUCAUUUCAUUUAAACGUCUAUAAAUACAAACUAAAAAACAUGUUGGAAUAGUUCAUUUCGAUCCUAUAGACCAAAGAAACAUGAUAGUGAAAUGAUAAUUAUCUAUCUUAUUGCCAUGUUCUUUAGAUUUCUACGUUCAUUCAAUUAUUUGUGAUUCCACCCAAGCCUAAUGCCCCAUAGAUCGUUCGAACUGUAUAUGAACAACAAUCAAGUUUAGCUCAAAUGGUAAAAAGCACCUACCUGAGUUCCCUUUGUUGAAAAAUAGGAGAUAAAAAAUACCAACGAAAAACUAUAAGUUUUCAUUCAAUGACUUUAAAGUCAACAAAAAACUAUAAACUUGAUUUUGACAUAUAAAAGUUUUACAAAACUAACUUGAAGUUUUUGAUUAUUCAACUUUAACAGAUUAUGAGGAGNGAUUAUGAGGGACAGAAUCUCAUGUGGUAGAAGCAACUACUUUUUAUUAGGUUAUCAGUCUCACAAUAUAAGAAAUAUUGACUUGCAUAUGAUGGAUCUUGCUACUGCCUAUUUGUAGUUUUGUACUCCUCCCAUGAUACCAAUCUUUUAUAUAAACCUUUACCUCCCUCAAAAGAUUUAAACCACCAUAAACAAGUAAGAUGGGAUCUCAAGAACACUAUUUGAUCAAAUUAAACAAGUCAUUACAUAUUUUGUUGCUAAUCAUACAAGACUUGACUUUGGUUAAGACCCCUUUCAACCUUUUAAAGAUUCCAAGGAAAUUGGUGGUCCAAAGCACAUUUAAGUGUCAUUUAAACAAGUCAUUAAUAUAUCUUGCUAAUAAUACAAGAUUUGAUAUAUCGUUCUCUGUAGAUUUUAGUGUAUCUAAUGUAUGAGACAUGACAAUUGACAAACACACAUUUCAUAAAGGAACAACAUAACAUGUCAAGUGUACUAACCUUUAGAAGAUGCUGCAAUCAGCAUAAAUGAUUGAUACUUGAUAACAACCACUAAGACAUCCAAUAUGUCACCUGAAACACCACAAAAGCAAUCAACAAAAAUGCUUAAUACCACCAAACUCAACAACAACAAUUACCAGCAACCGCAUAUAUGAUACCAUUGCAUUCUAUUUGGGAGAGAAUAAAUAGUUCGCUUUCUUGGUAAUUAUGAUAAACAAACAAGUUUACUCAUUAUAAUUAUCAGAUAAUAAAUUCAUUCUACUUACUGUAUAUAAGCUAUGUUCAAAACAAAACGAAUGAAGAAAUGCACAAAAUUCAUCACUAUGCAAAAUUUAACUGGAGGCACAAGUUUAGAGACACUAGAAAGCAUGUCAUCAUGUACAUAAUGAUCGAGAACAUGUGCAACCAUGAACAUAGCAAUCAAGAAUCAUCACUACACAAGUUAACUGGAAGAAGCAUAAUGGUACAAAUAUCUAACAUAGAAAGGAAAGUACCUACAGAAAAAGGUAUACAGAACUCAAACUUUAUCUCAUACAUUUUCAUAAGAAUAUAGCUUGUUAAUGCACAAACUCACCAACUUUCCUAGAAACUAUUAUGUCUUUUCUUGUUUACAUAAAUCCUCCCAGAUACCAUUGAUAUACAAUGCUUAACAUAGAAAUUAAUAAGAUGAAUCAUUGAGAUCAAAUAUAUUCAUGUUAACCUUUGGAAGAAUGAAUACCAGUUACGGAUGUGAUAUUGCUAACCCAAACAAAGAUAUACACACUGAUGAGCAGAUAAUUACAUGUUAUGUGCUGAUAAAUAGUAUGUAUAUCAUUAUUAAGUAACCUUAACUUAACCAAAACAUUAAUAAAUACAAAUUACAAUCUCAAUAUGUAUCAUCUAUUACUAUUUCUUGAAUUUUUACCCCAUUCUAAUGGGAUUCCAGGGAUCUGUUUAUAUUGCUGUUUUGUAGUGUCAGUGUAUUUGUUUAAAUUUUUAUUUUCUUCUAUUUUUUUUUUUAAAGUUACUGUAAUGAUUAUGAAAGUUCAAGUUUCCACAUAUCUUUGCUUUAUAAAUGUGUUCUUCAACUACCACAUCUCUUCAAAGUUAUAACCAAAUUUGACAGUUACAAAUGUUCUUUAUCUGAAAAAUAUUACAUCUGACUAGGAAUAAAAAAUUUCUAUGUGGAAGAAGGUAUGCAAGACCUUAACUUCUGUAAGUAUUAAUCUAUUAACUUAAAUAUUUACACUUUAGUAUUUGGGAAUUUAUUUUAUUGCUUAUUUAUUUUUUAAGAAUAUACGUACUUGAAGUAAAAAGUAACUGUGGCCAAAAAGGUUUUCUUCUAUGUUAACAGCACCGGUUAUUUGCAUGUUUAUUGUAGCAUUUGAGUAUCUAUUCGUUUAUCCCUAAAAACCAAAUAAAUUCAUCCCAAUUUUAAACUUGAUUGUUCAUUAUUCAAACUCAGAGCAGCACAACCAAUGCAGAAGAACCAAUUCUAUAAUUAAUGUUUUUUUUUUCAGUGUGCAAGAGCAAAAAUCUCAUGUACUUGUAUUGCUGCAGCAACUAAUACUCAAGAAUUAAUGUGUUUUGAUCAAAAUAAGUGAUUGGUUUGAAAUAAUACGAGUGUAAGCACCAAAGGGUCUACUGACAAGCAGGGGAGAUAAUUUAGUUUAAAGCAUUUGCUACAUUUGCUACAGAUUAUCGUUUGACAUCAGGUAUGUUAAUACAUCUGGAUCAUUUGAAACAUAUAAAUAUAUAAAUGCAUCAUUUUCAAUGACGCUAAAUUACAAUCUUCUUUGUCUUUGUGCUACCGGUCUCAAUAUGUGAGAAUUAGGUCAAAUAGAAAAAAGAUUGGAAAAACUUACCAGGUAAAUGUCGAUAACGACUGAGGAAUGAAGGAGAGAGAGAUGAAUUAGAAAUCGAUGGCUUAGCAUUGUCCUUUUCCUCAACUCCUCGCUGGUGGUGGCGGAGGAUAGCGCCUGAGAACGCAAUCGAGGUGCGAGGAAUAUACAAAAUUUGGGGAAAUUGUGUGUGGACAUGUGGGUACUGGAGUGAAAAAUAGAACGCUUCAAAUACUUUUUUUUUUGUUUUUUUUUUUUUUUUUAACUUUCAUAAAUACUAUUUUUAUUUCUAGAUUUUCAUAAAUUUAUCUAGAACCUUUUUUGGUACAAUAACUUUUAAAAUUAUAUUACUAAAUAAAUUUAAUUAAAAUAUCAAAUAAAUAAUUUGUUUAUAAAUAAUUAAAGUUAAUUGUGAAAUUAUCUAAAAAAACAUUACAUUAAAUAACAAAAUUAUUAAUGUAAAUAUUUACUAGACAAAGUUCUUAAUUAUUCUUAAGUAUGUUGAUGUGCAAUACAUUGUAUUUGACGCGUCACAGUUAGCUGAUAAGUUAACUGAUAAACUAGUUUAUUUUUCGAGUUUUUUUAAACUGUCAUGUUUGGAUUACCAAAUAUACCACUUACUUAAUUACAAAAAUGUCUUUUUUUUUAAAUUGUUUUAUUAAGUCGUUUUAUAUUUUUCAGUUAACUUUUCAGCUAAUUUUACCAUAUAAUAUUUUUUUUAUCAUCACCAUUUAGUAAAAACUAAAAUAUUUACUAAAACUUUAUUAUGACAAUCAUGACAUGCCUUCAACUUCAGUGAGUUAAGGUAUUUAUGCAAAAAUACUAAUCUACUACAUAAUAGAUAAUCUUUUUACUACAACAUCUUAUGCAAAGAUGUCACGCCUUGAUAAUUGAAUUGCCAAACAAUUUUCGAGAUAAUCAAAUCAUUUUGUCAUCAUUAGUUCGUAACUACUAAUUGCAUGCCACUCAAGCAUUUUAUACAACACAAAAGUAGUUUGUCUAUACAAGUUUAAACAGAGGCACAUGUUGUGAACAACCUCUAAAACUACAUGUUUACAUGUUUAACCGCCACUAUCAUGCACAUAUUGUAACAACCAUAAAAUUCGAGCCAAAUUAAAACAUUUUAAUUCAUUCAAAACCAUUAAGUUCAUACAUUUGUUUUCAAAAUAGUUUAAUCAGAGUAUUUCCAAAACCCAUAUCACAUAAGUCAUAAAACAUGAGGAGCAGUACGAUCACGCAUUCGUCUUGCCACGGUCUCCUGAAGUACCUGAAAUAAUACACUGAAACUGUAAGCCCGAAAGCUUAGUGAGUUACCCCUAAAAUACCAACCACAAUACCAUACACAUAGCAUAUCAUAUCAUAAACACAACAGUCAUUCAUAUCGAGUCUACAAUGUGACUGGUCCGCCUACACCAGGCCUUCAGUCCACCUAGUCCACUCUCUAAGUCUACAGUAUGACUGGUCUGCCCGCACCGGGCCUUCAGACUGUCUGGUCCACUCUCCGAACCUCGGCACGUCUGGUCCGUCCUCUUAGGGCCUUCCGCCUAUCCGGACCGCUCGUCGGCCCUUCGGUCUAACCGGUCCGCCCUGGGUAUGUUGGCCUACAGCACAUAGCAUGACCCGCCUCAACCCAACCUCAGUCCAAACAACCAUGUGCACAUAAACAUAUAAUCAUAUAAUAAUUCACAUCUAAUCAAACUGAUCUAGUAGAUCACAUAUCAUAGCAACAUACUAACCAGGAUACUGACCUAACCAGUCACUAACAUAGUAUCAUCCUAUAUACCAAGAUACCGACCUUAACCAGGUCUCUAACAUAGCAUCAUCAUAUAUAUACCAGGAUACAGACAUAGCAAGCAAUAACAUAUCAAACAGAUACCCAUAUUUCAAUCCGAGAAAGGGUUGGCCUUGGUGCCUUAGACCCUGUCGAUAUAGUGAGGAUAACUCACCUGCAACUGCCGACUUGAAGAAAUAAGACCACAUUGCUUCGACCACCAGCACGAACUCCACCACUGAUCAUUACCAAUUAACCAAAACCAAUAAACACGAAUAAUUACCAAAAUACCCUUGAAAGUCAAACUGGUCAACCCUUGGUCCAAGUCAAAGUCCUCAGUCAAAGUCAACCUUCCUGGUUGACCCUACUCGUCGAGUCAACCCGUUGACUCGUCGAGUUCCUAUGCUCAGAAACUCCCAUGCCACGAUUCAAAUCGCCAAGUCGCCCCAAGACUCGUCAAGUCCAACAAGCUCUAAGUCCUUUCCUGCUCAACUCACCGAGUCAUCCCUCGACUCACCGAUUCACAACUCAACCAGAAAAGGUUAGGACUUCACGACCAGACUCGCCGAGUCCAAGAACAGACUCACCGAGUCCGAGGCAAUCUUCAACAGAGUCGUCGAGUUGUUCUUCCAACUCAUCGAGUUCCUACCCAUCUUUAUACAAUUCGCCGAGUCCACCCAUGUGACUCGCCGAGUUACUAUGCGACUCAAGUCUAAUAUCUAGCCCGACUCACCGAGUCAUCUCCCAGACUCAUCGAGUCCAUACAUAACAUCUUCAUUCAGACGAUUUCAGGCCAUUUCAUUACUUCCAAAACAUAGAUCUAGACUCCUAGGGCCAGAUUCACACGUAAAGUUUCCAACUUUACGUGCAUGCAAGGCUCAACAAGCUCCAAUCAAGCUAUAAGGAGGUUUUGGGACAAAGAUACUCUAAAUCAAACCCCAUGGCUAAUGCUUUAGGCUUUCAUAGCUCACUAUUAACCUAGAUCUGAAGUUGCAACUUCAUAUCUAACCUCUAAACCCAAAAUGGGUUCCAAUCAAGCUAAAAUUCCCAAAACAACCAAGAAUGGAUCUAGAAGUAUAAAACUCAAGGUAACGACUUGUUACCUCAGAAAUGUGCCCAAGAAGAAGUAAAUUUCGAAUCUACAAUGAUCUCCCGAUGCUAGCAUCUUGAUAUUCUAACUUUCUUGUCUUAAAUUCUUCUUCCAAGCUCAAACUUUAACAAUGGAGGCUCAUACACACUAAUUAGGGUUUCUAGAACUCAAAUGGGCAGAAAAGAGGCUGAGGGUGGCUAUAAUGUUCUUUAUAUAGGGUACAACUUCCGGGAUUAGGGUUUUCUCCCUUUAGCACCAACUUGUCGAGUCCAUCUGCCGACUCGGCGAGUUGGCCACUUAACCCGUAACAAAAUUCCGCUCAGACUCGGCGAGUAAGAGGACCUACUCGUCGAGUCCCUGACUUAAUUUACACUCUACUCCCUGGAACUCUUGCUUCUAACUUGGUAUGUUACAAUUCUCCCCCACUUAAAUUAGGCUUCGUCCUCGAAGCCUGCUGCAGCACAAAAUUCCAAAAUAAUAAUCCCACGAUGAAACUUCGGAUCUCAACUGACUCAGAUUCCUCCAAACACUACCAUCAAAUCUCAUAGAAUCCAACUCUUUCUCUGUAGAUUUCUGACAAUUGCUCCAAACUGGCUACCUGCUUUCUCCUACUGAUAACAGCACUUAUCAACUCAGGGUCACCCAGAGGAUACAUUCUUAUUUCUGAAUUUUCCCACUUCGCCUCGCGCGAAACUAGAUAUCAUUACAACGUACCGGUCCUGACCCGAUACCAAUUCGUUACCCCUUGCCCAAACCGGCACUACUUCUAUUGAAUUGCACUGCUGGGAACUCAUCCCGAUUUCUUCUUGAAACAACUCUUUCUUUCCAUGCUAACAGGAUGAUAAAUCCUACAGCUCCUGAGCAACUCCUAUGAGCUCCCAUUUACAAACAUAUACACAUAUUGAACCUGAUCCAACAUCCUUGGGCUGGAAAGACCCGACACACUGACGAUACCUCCAGACAUCCCCCGGAUGAAAUACCACUACAUACAUAACCUCCUAAUCACAACCCUACUGAAAAUCCAAGACUUCAUCCUUGUAUCCCUUCCGAACUCCUCUGGUUCUACACCACCGGAAAUUCUUCCGCGGCCUCAACGGACACCCAACCCGUAUGUGCUUUCAUACCACUGGUACAAACACAAUGCUCAAUAAUCAUAAUUGGAAUACUUUCAAUCAUCCAUCCAUACUAAUGCUUCCACUGCAGUGAACCAACACUCCUUCUCGGAGCUACAUACCCUUCCCUUUCCUUAUCCAAGGAAACCUACUCGACGACCUUACCACAACAACAAGUGCCACGAUGCUCACACCCCACUCUACACUAUCCCUUAUAGAGUAACUGAUAUUCCAUGCAUCACAUAUACUCUGAAUCCGAUCACAAGGGCUAUCAAAGUCCAUACACCACAUUUUACUAACAUAAUCAAUACCCGAGGCCAGACCUACUGGUUGCUAUUGCAUCACAACAUACUCAAGCCAUCUCCUCAUAUAGACCUUUCCACACCUUUUACUAACAUAAUCAAUACCCGGGGCUAGACCUACUGGUUGCUAUUGCAUCACAACAUACUCAACCAUCUCCUCAUAUAGAUCUAUCCACACAUACAGAGUCUUUAACAUGACUGGACCGCCUUACCAGGCCUUCAGCCAAUCCAGACCAUUCUCAGAACCUUCAGCAUGUCUGGCCCACCCUCCAGGGCCUUCACUCUGUCUGGACCGUUCUCCGAGCCUUCGUGCAAUUUACUCUAGUUUUUUCUUUUAAAUUUGAUACCAAUGUUUUUGCAAAUGUUUUUGGCUUUUAACAAAUUGGUGGUAGUGAAUUGGAACACCAUUGAGGAAUACUCUAUGGCCAUUGGCGUACGUAAAUGCAUUUGGCAAAAAAAAAGUCUUCCAAACAAAGACCUUGAAGUCAACAAAGCAGACCCACUAAUCACACUCAUACACAAAAAAAAAAAAAAAAAAAAAAAAAAAAAAAAAAAAAAAAAAAAGGACAUGACUGAUGCACUAAGUAAGCAUCUUUCUUGUGGAAUUUUCCAUGAAACUUCUCCCUAUCAAAUGUAUUCAUCUUUAAUAUAAUUAUAAGUAUCUUUUAAAUCUAAAAUAAAUUACAAUCAUAUUUUAACCUAAAAUAUCUUUAAUAUAACUACUUUUAAAGAUUAAUGAAAUUAUAUACCAAUAGUUUUUAAGUAAACACACGAAUGGUGUCUGUGAUUUCAGGUAAUUAGCGUGUAUUGUUCUUUAACAGUUUUUUUAAACUUGGACGGUCCCUAUGGUUUGGUUUUGUUUCGGGUUUGGUACCCAACAAAGUUAAUAUGACUAUCUUGCACUUAAUGAUAUUUUUCUAUAAUUUUUAAUUCAUUUUUUAUUAUUAUGUUAUUAUUAAAUAGAGUAAAUUAUUAAUGUCAAAUGAUACUUCACCAAACACCAGAUGCUGCCCUUAAAACCACCUACCCCACCAUUGCAAAAGAUUGAAGGAUCCAGCCUCACACCAUUUUCCCCUCUGUUACAGACAAAAAACAACAUCAUCAUCCAUUCCUGAUGAAAAUCAAAUUCAUACCAAGUUCACUCGAUCAGAUAUAUAAUCUCAACUCUCGUAAAAAUGUUAAAAAAAAGAAAUGAAAGACAGAAUUUGACAUUACGGUUUUAUUAGACAUGACAAUUUCAACCCAUUUACUUGAAAAUAGGCACUAAAAAUGACCUAAAUAAACAAUACAAAAUGAAGCAAUUAGAAACAGUUAGUCAUGAAACAAUAUAUACAAGGUUCAGGCAAAACGUCUAAUGCACUUGAAUUAGACAGAAUUCGGGAAUAAAACAAUUUAAACACAUAAUUAAUACUGGGGAUGCGUCAAGAAAAAAUCAAAAAUUAAAAAACAUGGAAAGCAACAUAACCCAUGAGAUAAUGUAUAUAGAAGAGCUUUUUAAGGUUUCCUAGGUUAAACCAACAUAAAUAAAUAUUAUAGCAUCUCACUUUCAUUUGUUUAACCAUAACAUUGUAUUUUCAUUUUUUUUUUUCUUAUUAUGGCAUUGUGCUUUGAAAUGUGCACCCAGUUAUAAUAUUGUUCUUCAAAAAUAAUUCUUAUUAGCAUGCUGUACUUAGAAAAUCAUCCAAAUAAUAGCAGUGAGAAUUGCUUUUUACAAUGUUCAGGCAGAAUACAAUAUGCGACACUCACUCGGAAGAAGAGUUGCUGAUUUUGAGUUCUUUACCAAAUUUACAGUUAUUAAAACUGAAUAAGACUAUUGCCACAUGCUACAACUCACAUCUUUAAGGUUGUUAUUCAUUUCAGUUGCAACUAGUGCCAUCUCUAAUGUGUAUAACAUGAAAUAUCUGUGUUGACGUUUACAUGAAAAUAAACUAUUACCCUUUUUCUGUAAAAAAAAGGCAAUUGAUAUCAUGAACCAUAUCAGUCUUAUAAUCACAGCUGUAGUCGUAUUUACUUAUCGUCAUGGAAAACAAUCUAUAUCCACAAACUUGUAUUUUUUGGUCUUGGGAUAAUUUUCAAUUUUUCUUGAUCAAUAUAAGUGGUUUUGGGCUACUUUCCAUGAAAUACGUAAUUCUAUUUAAUCAGUUAGAAGUCACUACUACAAAAGACUUGGAAGCCAAUGGACAGUUUGCAGCCACAAACUGGUAAGCUCUGGGCCUCGCCUAUCUUUUUCUUUUUUUUAUCAAUCAAAAUUAAAUGGUGUAUACGGCACCUAUAGUUAGCAUGUUACAAUCAUAUUUUAUCCUAAAAUAUCUUAAAUAUAAUUAGAUUUAUACAUUAAAGAAAUUAUAUAAUAGUUUUUUGAGUAAACCACAUAAUGGAGUCCUGUGGUUUCGGUUUUGGUCCCCAACCGAGUUAAUAUGACUAUCUUGCCCUCAAUGAUAAAUUUCUGUAAGUUUUUAAAUCAUUUUUUAUUAUGUUAUUAUUAUUAAAUAGAGUAAAGAAUUAUUAACGUCUAAAAUGGACCCACCCAUCAACCCCACGUCGCUUGUCUUCAUCAGAGAAAUAUCACGGCCGCCAGUUUCAAAUUUCAAUGGUCUAAAAUGGUCACUCGUUGGAGUAAAAAGAAGUGAUCUAGGACUGUGGAGUAAAGAGACCUUGAGGAGAUAACAAGAGUGUGGGAGUGGGGGCAUUGUAGGACCCAAUGUUUUAAUAAUAAUAAAAAUAAUGUAUAUAAAAUAAUUAACAAAUAAAAAAUCUAGUAAGGGCAAAAAAGCAUUUUUAGGACAAGAAUCGUAACAAAACAAUACCACAUGGAUAGUCCGAGUUAAAUCCAACUUUGAAGUCAACAAAGUAAACCCCAAAUAAAAUAAGAAAAAAAAAACUUCUAUUUAACCAUAUCUUAAAAAAAAAAAAGGAUCAUCAAAGUAAUAUUUAUCGUUAAUUUAAUAAAUCAAAUUUGUAAACAUAAAAAUAUUGAAAACAUUUGAAAAGGAUUUGUGUGAAUAAAAGAUACCAAAUAAAGCAAACCUUACAUCAGUACAAAAGUUAACAAAAUUGAAAGAAUUACAAAUUUCUACAGGAAUACCAUAUUCCAUUCCAUCAGACACAACAAACAUACUUUCAGAAUCCAAUGUAAUAAACGAUUCCGAUUCCAUCAAACCAGAAAACGAAAAUAAAAAUUAGGGUUUACCUGAGUGUGAGCAAGAACACGGAUGACAUUGCAGUACUUCUUCAUCUUCUCCAGCUGUGACUGGAUGUCUCUCUUUCCUGUUUCAGUUUCAUCUUUCUUUGAAUAAUUUGUAAAAGCUUUCUUUUUUUGAUUUGCACUCAGAUGCUUUUAUAAAAUCUCCUCUUGAUGUCUUCACUCAGAUGCUGGGCCCACACUGUGUUCGAGCUGCGGAGCCCACGUGGGGUCUUGACAUACCCCAACAACCACCAUUGGGGGUGUUUCAAUGAUUGUCACUGCCUCACAUGUCUCUUUCUUGUGGAGUUCUAAGAUAAAAGGAAUGAAAAUUUAUUACACAUAAAGUAGUAAAUAGUAUGCUAUCCUUCUGAACUUUUAUGGUAUUUAUCGAUGAAGUGCAGAGAAGUAAAAAUUAGUUGGUAAAUUGUAUUUACAGUCGCCAAGUUUAGCUGAUUUUUCAGUUUUAGUACAAAGAAGACCACAUGUAAUUUUGGUCCUUAUUUUGAGGUUUUGGUAAUACUCUGUGCCUCUUUUUUUAAAUAUAUACCAACACCAAAACAUAAGAGAUUAUGGUUAACGGAAGAGAAAUAUAACAAACAUUUUAAAAUUGAAACCUUUAACAACAUCCACAUUACAAACAUAGAUACAAAUAGUUUCAUUAAAACAAAAACUUCAUUGAUAACAUAUAUCUGAGAAUUACUUGCAUUCCAGAGCGCCUAUACAGCUUCUCUUCCUCUCUUGAUCUUGGCAACGCUUACCAUGACUCCAACGUAUAUCUUGUCCAUGAUUUUCUCAACAAACAUGAAAAGCCUCCAUCUCCACUGCUUCUUCAACAACAGAACUCCAAUUACACCCCAAAAACCUGUUGCAAAUCCACUCAUGAUGUCUGAGUAAAACCACCAUACCUUGAUUGACUCCUCAGCUGCUUUAUGUUUCUUCUUGGGCUUUGCUGUUGUUGUUGGGUCUUGAUGAUCUGAGCAAUUGUUUGUCAAUGGAGGUCCACAAAGAUCUCUGUUCCCAGAAUAUAUUGAUGGAUCAUCAUUAAGGGUCUGCAACUGAUGGCCUGUUGGAAUUCGUCCCCACAAGUUGUUGUGUGACAGAUUCAGAUGGCUCAAAAAAGUCAAAGCUGCCAUGCUUGGAGGGAUCGUCCCGGUCAACUUGUUUCCAGAUAAAUCAAGAGAUUCUAACCUCGUCAUGUUCCCAAUGCUGUCUGGAAUAUUCCCACUGAGAUCAUUAUUUGACAAAUUGAGACCCAACAACAUACGAAGUGCAGUUAGCUCCACUGGUAUAUCUCCAACAAGUUUAUUGCUUGAAAGGUCCAUGUUAUAAACUAUAUCCAAAAUUCUUGCAUAUACAAGAUCAACACCUUUCAUAACCGGAAUCACAUUCUCAUUAGAAUCAGCCCAACCAUUAUUGUCAUACCACUUUUCUGCACCAUUAACCAUUGCAUUCAACUCUCUUAGGCAAUGAGGGAUGAUACCCGUUAAGUUGUUGUAUGCAACAUCCAAAAUUUGAAGAUUUGACAUUUUGCAUAAAGAUUCAGGAAUUUCCCCGGUAAAGUUAUUCUUGUGUAAUCUUAAAACAAUCAAACUUGUCAGGUUUUCUCCAAUCCAGUGGGGUAUCUUUCCAAACAAUUGAUUAUCACCCACAUCUAGGACUCUUAAAUAUCUUAAAUUCCCCAACUCUUGAGGAAGUUCACCAGUAAAGUUGUUGUCAUUUAAUUUUAACCAAUGCAAUGAUGAAUGACUAAGUGCUAUAUAGCUUGGAAUGACACCUGAAAGUAAAUUUGAGCUAAAGAUCAUGGCACCCAACCAUUUCAGAUUCUGGAGACACUUGGGAAUUUUCCCUGUUAACCUAUUUCUGGAAAGAUCAAGUAAAACUAAAUCUGUCAUUCUGCACAACAACUUUGGAAUUGACUCAUUGAAAAUGUUAUUUGCUAGUAUUAAUGCCAGUCCUAUUUCUGGAAGGUUUGUCAAUGGUCCGCUGAGUUUGUUGUGAGAGAGAUCUAAGAAAUCAAUGACAGGCAUCUUCCGCAACCAUGUGGGCAGAGGUCCCGAAAUUGAAGCAUUCGACAACACUAACUCAGAGAGCAAGAACUGAUUUCGUAGCCACUGUGGCAAUCCAUUUGUGAGAUUGCAGGAACUGAGAUCAAGAUGAUACAACUGGAAUGGAGGUAUCCACUCACGUGAGACAUUGAAUGCCAACUUGGUGUUAGAAGAAGCAUCCAAGUGCUCCAACAUCGAAAGGUUAGCAAAAUGGGCUUCAGAAACUACUCCUUCUACGGAAUUGUCUGAGAUAUCUAGAUAUUUGAGUUUGGCAAGUUGCCCAAUUGAAACCGGAAUAGUCCCAUUUAACAAAUUUGAAGAAAGAAAAAUAUCUUGUAAUGCAACAAGUCUUCCUAGAGAUGCUGGGAUGGGGCCCGUUAACCGAUUGGAUCCUAGAUUCAAAUGUGUUAAAGCUGAUAAAUUUCCAAAGGAUUCUGGAAUUGAACCAUUCAAUUGGUUGGAAGAAAGGUCAAGUCUGGAAAGAUUCCCAAUGAAUGUAGGAAUGGGACCGAUCAACUGGUUAUUAGAUAGAUCUAACAUUUCUAAAUGUCUUAGUCUUCCUGCAAAUUCGGGGAUUGGACCUGUCAAACUGCUCAUUGAUAGAUCUAAGUGUCUUAAAUCGGUUAGUCUUCCAAGUGCUUCUGGAAUCGUACCAUUCAAAGAACCACUUAAAUCCAACGACUCCAAAGCAUAUCGGGAGCAUUCCGAUGUGUUUUGUGGUGAGUCAUUCAUUUCUAUUUCAAAAAGAUUUCCAUAUGCAGCCAAUGUUUUCAGGUGACAGUGUCUCCAGAUUCCAACAUCCUCAAUAUUCUUAAAAUGGUUAGAAGAAAGAUAAAGCUCUAGAAGGUCAGGCAUAAUUGGAACCCAAGAAUGCAGCAUGUUUCCUGAGAGAUCAAGGACUCUUAAGGAACUCAUGUUUGUGAAAAAAGAUGGAAUUAUGCCUUCAAUUGAAUUUUGGCUAAGAUCCAGGUGUUGUAUGUUAGAAAGCAUACUGAUAUUAAAAUGAGCGGAGGAUAGAAAAGUCUUAUUAUCUAGCCAACAACUUGAAAAAUGCAGCUCUGAUAAAGAGGAAGGGAUCAUGUUUAGCAAGUUUGCAAAGUUCCAUGACAAACUAAGAUUAAAACCAGAAAGAUCCAGAAAUUCAAGGGAUGUCAUGUUUUGGAAAAAUCCAGGGAGUGAAGUUUUCAAAGAAUUAAAGCCAAGAUCAAGGUGUUGUAUGUUGGCAAGAAUUCUACUCGAAUUAAGAAAAGGACCAAGAUGGACAUUGGAAAGUCCACAACCAUGCAAACUUAACUCUUUUAAUGAACGAAGAUUGUAAAGCACCUUGUCCCAACCACUAAGAUUCAACCAACUCAAGUCAAGAUGCUCGAGUGAUGAAAGGCCAAAAGUCCAUGACAUAUCAUCUGACAUCAGCUCACCAUUCCAACUGAGAUCCAAAACCUUUAAAUUAGAAAGAUUUCCAAUGUGAGGAGGAAUAAUACCUUGAAAACCAGCAGCAGAGAGAUUGAGGUACAUCAGCUGUUUGAAGGAUCCAAUGAACUCAGGGAACCGGCUUCCUCCAAAAUCAUUCCGACUCAAGUCCAGGUACUUGAGAUGCCUCAACUCAGCCAAUGAAGAGUUCACCGCAUUACCAACUAAGUAGUUGUCUCCUUCGCUACCAUAAUAGUAAUCUCCAUUGAGAUUGAGGCUGUCAACGGUUCCAGUGAGACUGUCACAGUGGAUUCUUUCCCACAGGCAACAAUCCUCCCCCACCCAUGAUGACAACAUUCCAGAAGUAUCUUCAACACUCCCUUUGAACUUGAGAAGAGCAAGUCGCUCUUUUUGAGAGCAGGCGACACUGACAUUUCCAACACCAAAACAAGAAUAUUUGUUUGCAACCAAAAAAACACAUACGAAAAUGAGAUGGAUCCCUAAACCCCUCCGAAUUCCCAUUAUUAACCCUCCUUAACUAACUUGGUUUAAUUUAGAAGGAAGUUGAAGUGGAGAGAUAGGUUGUUACAUUGAAGAAACUACUGCAUUUAUAAUGCCAUAAAUGAAAAACAACUUAUUUCCAUGAAAGACUAGAAGUUAAUGGACAUUUGGAUGCACAAGUUGUAUUUUUGUGGUACACAUGGUAGAUGCAAUUGUAAAUGGAAACAAUUCUUUUAAAAAUAUAAAAUAAAUGAAACCCAAUAAUUGACAAACAAGCAUUUAGAUUUUCAAGAAGUCUAAGAUUAUUUUAUAAUAUUUUGUAAAUAGUAGUUAUAAAUUAUAAAAUUAAUUUUGAUGUUCAAUCAUUUUACAAAACUAACUUCAAGAAAAUAAGUUUUUUGUUAUUAUUUGACUUGACAAGGUUGAUGUGUCAAGCUUAAUUAAAAGAUACAUUAUGUAACUCCACAUUAAAGAUAUUAUAUAUUUUUUUUUUAUAAAAGAUGUGUUUUCUCAAAUGCAUUACAAUUUCAUUAGACAUAACAAUUUCAACCCAUUUAAUUGAAAAAUAGGUAUUUGUUAUAUUAAUAAUAAAAAUACCUAUUUUCAUAAUAAUAUAAAUAGAUAAAUAAAGAGACGUUGAGGAGAUAAAAACGGGGCGGGUGGGGGUUGGGGAAUUUAUGGGAUCCAAUAUUUUAAUAAUAAAAAAAUAAAGUACAAAAAAUAAUUAAAGAUAUAAAAAAUCUAGUGAGGGAAAAAAUGUAUUUUUAGGGCUGUUAGGGAUAAAAAUCAUAAUAAAACAAUACCACAUGGAUGGUCCGACUUGAGAAAUAAUAAUAUUAAAUAAGGGACCAAGCAUACACAUUACCUUAAACCAUAGGGACCAUUCAUGCAAUUUACUCUAGUUUUUCUUUUAAAUAUGAUACCAAUAUUUUUAGAAUUGUUUUUGGCUUUUCACAUAUCGGUGUUAGUGAAUUGAAACACUAUUGAGGAAUAGUGUAUGGCCCAUGGCACAUGUAAAUGCAUUUGGCAAAAAAAAAAAAAAUCUUCCACACAAAGACAUUGAAGUCAGCAAAGUAAACCCACUAAUCACACCCAUAAACAAAAAACAUGGAGGACACGAAUGAUGCACUAAGUAUGCAUCUUUCUUGUGGAAUUUUCCAUGAAACUUCUCUGUAUUCCUCUUUAAUAUUAUUAUUUGUAUCUUUUUAAUCUAAAAUAAAUUACAAUCAUAUUUUAACCUAAAAUAUCUUUAAUAUAACUACAUCUAAACUUCCAUAAACACGUUAAAAAUAGAAACGAAAGAAAAAAUGCACAUAAACCAUCACUGUGGUAGUUCACAGGAAGCACAAGUUUAGGGACAGUAGAAACCAUAUCAGGUACUUAAUGAUCUUACACUUACACAUGUGCAAACUUUGACAACAUGCAAUGCCUACUGAAAAAGGUUUAUUUACUAAUGCGAAUUAAAAAAUAAAAAAAUCUAUUGACCUACAAUAAUUAUGGUAUCAUGUACCAGUAGAUAUCAAUACAAAACCUAAUCUAAUAAUAUUGGGAGCAAUUACACACAUACAUUAUGCAUAUAUAAUAUGUGGCCUAGUAAAACUAUGCACACAUAAAUAAAUAAAAAUUCAUUUGUAGGAACUGCUUUCAUAGCAUAUGAAGAAGAACCAGUUCCAAAUAUAGCAGCAAUACGAAAACCUGUUUUUAUUUUUCCAAUUUUCACACAGUAAACAAAAGCAAGAGAAAAUAGAGGCUUUUCACGAGCACAGGUCAACAUAGGACUAUAGUCUAUAGGUGAUUCGUUGAUACAAUAAAAAAAUACAAACACUUUUAAGUAUCAAAGGAUCUACUGAGAAGCAGAGGUUUAAUUGAGCUUGAAGCAUUUCCUCCCUUAAACAGGUAAUUACAGAUUACGUGGUGACAUUAUAUCUACCAUUAGGAGCUGCAAGUGUGUUGAAAAACAGAGGCUAUCACCAUCUGCUUAUAUGCAUCAUUACCUUCUCUGUGUUACAGGUCCCAAUUUGUGUGACAAUUAGGUCAGACAGAAUCAUAAAAGUAUAGAUGGAUCAUUUUCCCAGUAUACAUCAAUGCAAUUGGAUUAUAUUACACAUAAAAACAUAUAUGCAUCGUUUUCAAUAGCCCUAAAUUACUAUCUUUUUUAUCUUACAGGUCCCAAUUUGUGUGCUGAAUUUUCUUAAAAAAACAAAUACAGCAAAGUUCAUAAAAUAUAGAGAAUUAGGUCAAAGAAAAAAAGAAAAUCGGAAAACAUACCAAGUGAACACCAUAUGAAUCGGUAGUGUAGGCUUCGCCUUUUCCCCGUUCUCGUCUACUUCCAGGUGACGAUAGUUUUGAGAGUACUCGAAAUUUGGGGGAAAUUUUGUUACAAGUAAAUUACAAAUUUGGUCCCUUAGGUUUCGUUUUGUUACAGAUAUAUAACCCAUUUAGUAAAAUCUAGGAUUAAUUACAAAUUUGGUCAUUUUUGUAUUAUGUCAAAAUCUAUAAUUUUCAAAACUAUUUCUUCGAUGGACCAUUUAUGUGUAAGGUCCUCAAAAUGAGGUCAAGCAAAUAGAAGUGAGUUAAAAUGCUUAAAGGAAGAAGAAGUGAUGUUGGGUUACUACCAUAAAAAUAAAGUAUGAUGUUAUUAUAAAUAUUUUUAUAUUUUUGUAAUCAUUACAUUAAAUUUGGAGAUUCAUAGUAACUUAAACCUAAAAAUUAUUAGGUGUAAAAGUCCUAUAAAUUAUAUAUAUAAAGAGGACUGAUAUGGUUGGGAUCCGAAAUGAAAGUUGUGAGAAUGAUAUAGUAUUAAUUACAUGAUAGCAAGGGAAAAAUAAAUAAAAAUAAUAAUUUUGUUUCUUUAUUACUAGUUAAGGGGUACCAAUUGGUAGGGGAUCACACAAACACACACUUCUCUUGUGUACACCUUGUAAUCGAUAUAUAAACAACAAAGAAUGAGGUACUUGUGGUUGGCAAAUUAUAGGAUUUUUCAAGUUCAAUAUUCAUGUUUGAGGUCCAAGUCCAACAAUGACAAGAUAUAAAAUUAAUGUUUAUAUGUUGGAAAGGAUGAUAUAAAUCUAUUUUUUUCAAUGUGUAAUUAUGUGUGAAAUAGAAGAAUAUAUGAUCAAAAAAAUAAUAAUGUGUGACAUGUAGAUAUAGCUUGAAUUGGUGAAAUAUUAUUUUAUGGAAGGUUAAUUGCAAAUUAAGGAAAAAUUGGUCCAUAAAUGGAUAGCAUAUCUUGUUUGGGUAAAGGUCAAGGAAAAUGGACACGUAAAUAAUUUGAGAAUGAUUUGUCAAAGUGUUGAAUAAAAAAAAAAUGUAUGUAAACAAAGAUACUUGACAAGUUGGAAAUGUUGGUUAAUUUCAUAUUGGAAAGUAGGACGCUAAUUUCCUUGUAUAUGUAAAGUAAACAUAACUAUAAGUGUAUCUGUAUUAAAGUGAACUUGAAAUAACAUAUGAUGAUGCAAGAAUGAAAGAAAGAUGAAAGUUGUAUCUAGUAAGUAAUGUAUUACUUGAAAUGGUAUGGAUAGGAUCAUCACAGACAUGGAAAAAAUAAAAUAAGAAUUCAUACUCAAGAUAUGUAGAUACAUGUGUUUGAUCCUCCAAUAUCACUCAAAUUGAAGUUAAAGUUGAUGCUUCUUGUAUUAGAGUUAUAAAUAUCCACUGUUAAUAUUAAGUUGAAUACAAAUACAAUAAUGGUAAAAUCUUUAUUAAUUACUGAUGAAAACACAUUAAAGAAACUAUGUUCACAGCAUAAAUCUGCAUCGAUACACUGUAAAAGGAUCAUACACCCAAUGCAGAAACCAAGAUAAUGAUAAUGAUGUUAAACAUCAUGAAUUACAUAUGAAUUCCCUCUGAUAUCUUAUAUCUUAAUCAAAGAAUUACAUCAAAAUAUAUACAAAACAAGUAACAAAGGCAUAUUACCAGAUCAGAAAAUUGAAGGAGAAACAAGACAACAGAAACAUAUAAAGAAAGAGAAGAUGAGAUUAACACAGUGAACCCAUGAUGAUUAUGGAAUCAGUUGUGGUGUUUGAAGCAGAACCAAACCAUCAACCUAAGAUGUAACCCUAAUCUAAUCUAACAACUUCAUCUUGUAUAAAUACCGAAUCAAACAAACAUUUCAAAAUUAACACCUUUUAAUACCAUCUAUAUCACAAAUCUCAUAAAAAUCUAAAAUCCAAAUAGUAUUAUAAACAAGCACAAUAUCAAUAUUAAAAGGACUGUUAAUCCUUAAUUGAUGAUAUAUAUUUAAAAAGGAUCUAUGCGUCUUCUCUUUGUCUCUUCAUUUUGGCAACUCUUACCAUGACUGCAACAUAUAUCUUGUCCACGGUUUCCUCAGCAAACAUGAAAAGUUUAUGUCUCCAAUGUUUCUUGAAUAACAAAACUCCUAUAACACCCCAAAACCCUGUUGCAAAACCACCGAUUAUGUCCAAAUAAAACAGCCAUAUCUUCGUGGGCUCGUCGUCUGCUUUGUAUUUUUUGUCGGGCGUUGUUGUUGGGUCUUCAUGAUUUAAGCAAUUCUUUGGCAAUGGAGAUCCACACAGAUCUUUGUUCCCAGCAUAUAUUGAUGGAUCAGUAAGUGUCUGCAAUUGACGACCUGUUGGAAUUUGUCCAGACAAGUUGUUGUAUGAAAAAUUCAAACGGCUCAAAAAAGUCAGAGCUGCCAUGCUUGGAGGUAUCCUCCCUGUUAAUAUAUUUUUUGAGAAAUCGAGAGAUUCUAACUUCGACAUGUUUCCAAUGUUGUCGGGAAUACCCCCACUGAGAUGAUUAUUAGACAGAUUAAGACCCACCAACAUCGAAAGUGCAGUUAGCUCGAUUGGUAUUUCUCCAACAAGUUUAUUGCUUGAAAGGUCUAUGCUAAAAAGUAUACCCAGAAUUGUACCAUAUUCAAGUUCAAGACCUUUUAUGACCUCGAUCACAUUCUCAUUGUAACCGUAUUGCCAAAGAGGCGAAUGUACCCGACUACUAUUAAACAUCGCAUUCAGCUCGCCUAGACAAGGAGGGAUAGCUCCCGUUAAGUUGUUACAUGCAACAUCAAGAACUUGAAGAUUUGAAUCUUUGCAUAAAGAUGGAGGAAUUCUUCCGGAGAAGUUGUUUUUGUGUAACCUCAAAACUACCAAAGAUUUAAGUUUUUCUCCAAUCCAUUCAGGUAUACUUCCGGAGAACUUGUUAUCACCCAAAUCUAAGACACUUAAAUAUCUUAAAUUCCCCAACUCUUGGGGAAGUUCACCACUAAAGUUAUUGUCAUUCAAACUUAAUCGGAUUAAUGAUGAAGAAUUAAGUGCUAUAGAACCUGGGAUGACACCAGACAACCGAUUUGAGCUAAAUCUCAUGGCAAGCAAGUUUUGGAGAUUCUCAAGACACGUGGGGAGUUUCCCGGUUAACAUGUUUCUGGAGAUAUCAAGAAAUAUCAAACUUGUCAUUCUGCAUAAUGAUCUUGGAAUCGACUCAUUAAAACGGUUACUUUGAAGGAAUAAUUUUCUCAUAGAUCCAUAUUCAUUAGGAAGAUUUCUCAAAGGACCCUUAAUUUCGUUGUAAGAGAGGUCUAAGAUACUAAUGACGGGCAGCUUCCGCAACCAUGUGGGCAGAGGUCCCGAAAUUGUAGCAUUCGACAAGAUUAACGCCUCAAGUUUCCUUUGAUUUCUAAGCCACUGUGGGAAUCCAUUUGCAAUAUUGCAAGAACUGAGUUGAAGAAUUACCAAUUGGAACGGGGGUAUCCAUUCACGUGAAACAUUAAAUGUCAACUUAGUGUUAUAAGAAGUAUCUAGUUCAGUCAACAUCGCAAGUUUACCAAAAUGGGCUUCAGAAACAACUCCUUCUAAUGAAUUAUUAAAGAUAUUUAGAGAAUGGAGUUUGGAAAGUUGCCCAAAUGAAAUUGGAAUAGUCCCAUUUAACAAAUUUGAAUGCAACGAAAUUGCUUUUAGUGAAACAAGUCUUCCUAGAGAUGCUGGGAUAGGGCCGGUUAACUGAUUGACUUCUAGAGACAAAUCUGUUAAAGCGGUUAAUUUUCCAAAUGACUCUGGAACUGAACCAUUCAAUCUGUUAAAAGAAAGAUCGAGUUUGGAAAGUUUCCAAUGAAAUGUUGGAAUGGGACCAGUUAACCGAUUGAAUUGUAGAUGCAAAUCUGUUAAAGUUGCUAAGUGGCCAAAGGAGUAUGGAAUUGAACCAGUCAAUUGAUUGAAAGAAAGGUCAAGUUUGGAAAGUUUCCCAAGGAAUGUAGGAAUGGGACCCAUCAAAUCGUUAUUGGACAGACAUAACUCCUCUAAGAAUCUUAAUCUUCCUAGAGAUUCGGGGAUUGGACCUGUCAAUCCACUGUAUGAUAAAUCUAAGACUCUUAAAUUCAACAACAGACUUCCAAGUGGUUUUGGAAUUGUACCAUUUAAACUCCCACGUAAAUCCAACCUCUCCAAAGAAUAUCCGGAGCAUUCCGAUAUGUUUUUUUGGUGAGGCGAUCAUCUCUAUAUCAAAAUCAUUUCCUGAUGCUUUCAAUCGUUUCAGGUGACACUGCCUCCAGAUUCCAACCUGCUCAAUCUGCUUAAACUUGUUAAAAGAAAGAUCAAGGUCCAGAAGGUUUGGCAUAAUAGGAACUGAAGAACUUAACAUGUUUUUUGAAAGGUCAAGAACUCUUAAGGAACUCAUAUUUGUAAAAAGUGAUGGAAAUAUGCCUUCAAUUGAAUUUUUGCUAAGAUCCAGGUGUUGGAUGUUAGAAAGUGUACUGAAAUUAAGAUGAGGGGCAGAUAGGUGCAUGUUAUGGAGCCCACAAAUUGACAAAUGCAACUCUGAUAAAGAAGGGAUCAUGUCUAACAAGUGUUGAAAGUUCUGAGAAAAACUAAGAUCAAACCCUGAAACAUCUAGGAAUGUUAGGGAUGUCAUGUUUUGAAGAAAACUAGGGAGUGAACCUCUGAAAGAAUUGAAGCCGAGAUCCAGGUGUUUGAUGUUGUGAUGUAUUCUACUUGAAUUAACAGUGGAACCAAGACCAACAUUGGAAAGUCCACAUUUUGACAAACUUAUCUCUUUUAGCAGAGGAAUCAUGAAAAGCACCAUGUCCCAGUUUUGUGCUCCAGCAAGAUUCACCAAACUUAAGUCGAGAUGCUCGAGUGAUGAAAGGCCAAAAGUCCAUGCCAUAUCAUCCGCCAUGAGCCGUCUAUUUGAACUGAGAUCAAGAACCUUUAAAUUAGAGAGAUUUCCAAUGUGAGGAGGAAUAAUACCAUGAAAACCAGCGUAAGAGAGAUUAAGGUACCUCAGCUUCGUUAAGGAACCAAUGAAAUUAGGGAUCCGGCUUCCUUGAAAAUCAUUCCCACUCAAGUCUAAGUAUUUUAGAUGCCUUAACUCCGCCAACGAAGAGCUCACCUCAUUACCAACUAAAUAGUUGUCAACAGUGUAAGAAUAAGAGUCCCGAUCUCUUCUCAGAUGAAGUCUUUCAACAUCUCCAGUGACACCAUCACACUGAAUUCCUUCCCACCUGCAACAAUCACUGCCAAUCCAUGAUGACAACAUUCCAGAAGGAUCUUUGAUGUUGUGUUUGAACUUAAGAAGAGCAAGACGCUCUCUCUGAGAGCAAACAACAGAGAUAUUUCGAACACCCAAACAGGUAUACGUGUUUGCAAGAAAAACUAUACUUGUGAAAAUGAGAUGCAGCCCCAAACCCCUUGGAUUCCCCAUUAGCAACCCUUCCUAAUUAACUUGGUUUUUUUUUUCGAAAAAAUAAUGAAGUGGAAAGAUGAGUUCUUAUGAUGAACUGGUGGGUUUUUAUGAUCAAGAAACUACUUUAUUUAUAAACCCUGAAUUGAAAGCAACUUGCUGCCAUCAAAGACUUGCAAGUCAAUGGACAUGACUUGGAAAAUUUGGAAGUCAAUAGACAAAUUCUAUCCACUGGCAUAUUUUUCUUUUUCUCAAUCAAAAUCUGGUGGGGUGUGUGUAUGUGUGUGUGUGUGUGUGUAUAUAUAUAUAUGUGUAUAUAUAUAUAUAUAUAUAUAUAUAUAUNNNNNNNNNNNNNNNNNNNNNNNNNNNAGGAAAGAGAAAUAUGAAAAAAAGAACUGACAUCUGUGACAAAUACUUUAAUUUGACAGAAUAUGACCUCUAUACAAAUUUUACAUUAAUCCUCAACUUUCAUUUUUUUUAUCGCCUAUCUAAAGUACCUUUUUAUGUUUUAGAGGUAACAAUUUCAACCAAUACAUGUAUUUCUAAAUAUAAAGUUUCAUUCAAGUACUUUUAAGUCUACAUAACUACACCCUUGACUUUUACAUGAGGGAUUAAAGAACUAAGUUGCAGAAAAAGAAAGUUAUUGACUAGCUAACUUUACUUUGAAAUUUACACAAAAUUACAAACUUGACUUUGACAUUUAAAGGAUUAUAAAACUAACUAUGUUGCAGGAAAAGACAGCUAUUGAUGAUUAUUUGACUUUAAGGGUUAUGUUUCAAGCCCAAUAAAAUACUAUUUAGGGCUAAAUGACCAUCUAGAAACCCACUUUCGUUCAUUUCUCACUACAGCCAAUAUAGAUUUUAUGCACAAUACUAAGUUACUAACACACUCAUUUCCAUUUUGGGCCAAAAUGACAUAUAUUUCCCUAAAGCUGUUUUUUUUUUUGUUGACUUGUGAUCUUAUGCCUAUGUUAUGGUAGAAGAGAACAAAAUGACACACAUCAAUUGGUCCAUGCAAUACAUACAUACAUAUGGGCAAGUGCAUCUGUGCAUGGGAACUGAAAGAUAGUACGUGUUUGAUCUCAGCUGUUAAAUAAAAAGAUCCGAUGGACACCAGACUAAGAAAGCCUUGACAAUUAUUGAACCUGAGAUCUCACUUAGCAGAGUUAGAUUAUUUCCCCACAACUCUUUACACAAUAACUUUGAAGUAAACACGUACACACAAACGUAGUGACAUGAUGAUUGAUGCUGCACCUAGCAUCUUUCUGGUAGAAUUUUAAAUGCUACUUCCUAACAGCGCUUUCGAUAUAGGAUAAAAUUUUUAAGAGAAGUGUCAAACAUUUUUUUUAAAAUAAUGAAAUACAUAAGGCUUCAAUUUUCUAAUACAAAACCGUAUGAUGAUUAAUACACCUUUAUAAAAUUCAAAACAAUAAUUGUUCAACAAACUUCUAAAAAUGAAGAUUAAUCUCUACUUUACUGAACAUUAUCACAACAAAACAAAAGAAAAAAUGCACAAAAACCAUUACUGCAGAAGUUCACUGUGGUCAACAGGUUUCCUUAAUUGGGCAUUUUGGAAAUUUGAUUAAGGGUAACAUUUUUUAUCAAAUUAGAUGUCAAGCAUAUAUGGCAUUUUUUCGCACGGAGGGAGUAAGUAUCUACUGUUUUAACACUGAUUAUUUGGGUGUUUAUAGUACUCUUAGAUUAGCAUUCAUUUAUCCCUACAAACUAAACAAUUUCAUAUCAAUUUUUAAAUAGGAAGUAAUUAAUUGGCAAACCAAGGUGGGUUCCAGGCAUCGCCUUACGGAAUGAUUAUGUGGAUGAUGGGCAGCUAUUCAGAGUAAAUAAUUUAAUAACUUGAAGCAUAUGUCAGCAUGAAUCCAGAAGGACCAUCAUCAUCUCUUUGUGCUUUUUUUUUAUGGCUGAGCUACAAGAGCUCAUUUCUUCCCCAUAAUGCCACUGAUAAAAGGUUCUACUGAGAAGCAGGGGAAACACUUGAGUUUUAAGCAUCUCCACCUGUUUAACAGGUAUUAACAGAUAAUGAGUUUGACAUUAUAUCUACCAUUAGGAGCUCCAAAAGUGUUGCAGAACAAAGUCCAUCACCAUCAGCUUAUAUGAAUCAUCAUAAAAUCGCAUGAUUUCGAUCUUCUAUGUCUUACAGGUCCCAAUUUUGUGUGAGAAUUAGGUCAGACAGAAAUAUAAAAACUUAGAAGCAUCCCAAUACGAUGCAUCCGUUUCUACCAUGCUAAAUUACUAGGUUCAAAUUUGUGUGUUUUGUUGCAUGUUAAAUUUUUUGUAAAAACUAAAUAGAGUAAGUUCAUGAAAUCAAUAAGAAAUUAGCGCAAAUAGAAAAAGAAUUGGAAUACCCAGCGAACAUCGAUGACUCGAGAAUUAAGAAGGAUAGAGAUAAAACAGAUUCGCCUUUUCCCCUGUACACAACUACUACUUCGCUGGAGGAAGCAUUCCUUUCGAGAAGAACUGGAAGUUUGGGGAAAUGUGUUUUUUUAAUUAAAAUACAAAACGGGUUCUUUUUUUUUUUUUUUUUUAAAUGACAUGUUUUGUCCAGAUUAACUUUUUUCUUACAAAUUUUUCUUUAAAGAACAUUUUAUCUCAAAUUCCAAAAGAUAAUAUACCAGAGGACCAAACUUGUAUUUUACUUAUAGUUUCAUGAGUAAACUCUUUUUUCUUAAUUAUAUGAUGUUUUACGUUUAAUGUGUAAUUAUAUCAGAAGUAUAAGUUUCUAAACUGUUUUACAUUUAUCCAAUAACAAAAGAUUUACCGCCUAAUAGUAUUAAAAGUUGACAAAAAAUUAAUCAUCAGUUAAAUGUUAAGGUUCAAGUCUCGUUUAUAGCAAAAUGUAUACAUUUAUAAGUAUAUAUGUUAGAUGGUUCUAAUUUCUUUUAGAUAUUUAUUGAAUAUGAUAGAUUUUAGACAAAAUUACAUAAGUGGUCCUUGAGGUUGAUCCAAUUGACCAACUUUGGCUCUUAUGACAAAUUUUAUGUGUAGAUAGUUCAUAUGGUUUUAAAAUCUUGCAAAGAUAUUCCUUUUGACUAAAGAUGUUAGCUUUUUCAAUUAAGUUCAUUGUGAAAUGAUCUAUUUGCCAUUCAUUCCAUACGGACCAUUUAUGUAAUUUGUUCUAUCCAUAGGGACCGUUUAUGUAACUUUCUCUAUUAUUUUUUUAUUUAAUUUAUUUAUAUUCUAUGAUUUAGAAUUUUCUUAACGUUUUGUUUGAAUAUAUUCUUGAUUUUUUUUUAAAAAAUCACUUGCAUUUUUUGAUUUUGGUUCGUGUAAUUUUUUGACAAAAUUGCAAAAAUAGUCCCUGUGGUAUGUAUUUUUUUGGGGUUUUAAUCCAAACAGUGACUUUUUUGGAUUAGUGGUCAUUUUGAGAUAGUUUGUAUGUGAAAAUAGUCCCUCCAAAAAUUGAAAUGACUAUAAUACCCUUGGGGUAUUUAUUUUUCAUUUUUCUUUCAUUUUUAUAAAUUAAAUAUUUAUUUAUUUACUUUAACAAUUAAAAAAUAAUGGAGGACCCACCUCUCUCUCUCUCUCUCUUCUCUUUUUCUCUCUCUCUCUCUCUCUCUCUCUCUCUCAUCCCGAGCUAUCACUUCAUCACACACACACACACAAACAGACGAACCUUCCCUCUUCUUUCAAUAUCCACCCUUCUCCCCUGAUUUGUUAUUUUUUUUUAAAUUACACUUCGUCAAUUCAUCAAUUCCCCUAGAUUCGAUUCGAUCUUCGAGGAUGGAAUGAUCAGUUUUUCGGAAAAAACAUUCAUUCUAUUUUCACCAUUCUUGUUCAUCAAAAAGUCGAUUUACCCACCUGUUAUCUCUCCAUACUUCUCCCUUCCUCUAAUUUUGAUGGGGGAAUUGAUUAAUGGGUUGUUCUUGAUUUUGGUUUGGUGUUGGUUACAUGUUUUAAUUUUUAUCUGGGAUGAGUUCAGGGGGGAGAUAAUGAUGGUGAAGAAGAAUAGGUAGGAGGGAAGAGGAAGUUGAUGAGUCGAGAUUAGGGGAGGAACCAAAAGACACACACAUACAUGGAUUUCUGGUGUAACUAGGGAACCUUCAUCCUUGCUCAAAACUGAUGAAGAUGAAACCUUCAUCCCUAUUCAAAAACCAUUACAGGACGUCAACUAAAUCAAAGAUUAAGGUUUCUUGCUCUAAAACCCUUAGAGAACCUGCAACUAAAUCAAAGGUUUGACAUUUAAAAAUAAACCCAUAUUUCAACGGUUUCAUUGUGUGUGCCCUGAAUUAAAAAGAAAUCUGGAAUUCAUAUGGGUUCUUGAAGAAAUAAACUUGAACGGAAUCAAAAUAGAAGUAUGAAAUAAAACUAAAAACUUGAUUGAAAACAAAAUCAGAGUUGUUCCAUGGGUUUUUGGUUCUGGUUAGAGGGAGAACCAAAAUCGAAAUCGACACCAUAAACAAAAUCAAACCCAAAUAAAGAUCAGUGUGUGUGUCUCUUCCCCAUGGUGUUUGUGAUCAAUGGUGACAAGGGAUGAUUACCUCGGUGCAUGUUUUUGUUGUGGGGUUUUCAGUGGUGCAGCGUCGGUGGUUGAAGAAGGAAGCUUGGGUUCAACAUUCUUGAUGUAUGGAUGAUGGUGGCUAAAAGGAAGAUGAUGAAUGUCGAUGAUCUGAAGUGUGUGUGUUUGCUUGAGAGAGAGAGAGAGAGAGAGAGGGGUCCUCCAUUAUUUUUUAAUUGUUAAAAUAAAUAAAUAAAUAUUUAAUUUAAAAAAAAUGAAAGAAAAUGAAAAAUAAAUACCCCAAGGGUAUUAUAGUCAUUUCAAUUUUCGGAGGGAUUAUUUUCACAUACAAACUACCUCAAAAGGACCACCAAUCCAAAAAAAAUCAUUGUUUGGAUUAAAACCCCAAAAAAUGCAUACCACAAGGACCAUUUUUGCAAUUUUGUCUAAUUUUUUUAAAUUCUUUUUUGACAUUUUAUUCAAAUACAUUUAUGACAAAACUUCAAAAAUGAUCACUGUGGUUUUCAAAAAUAUCAAGUUUAGUCCCUAAUUUCAAUGUGAUUAAUAUUAAAUAUCUGGUCAGUAGUGGAACCUUGUCAUAUCAUCAUCUUGUUAAUUGUUUGGUCAUGUAUGCUAAAAAAUCAAAUUACAAAAAGAUGAUGAAGGUAUCCAAAGAAACAAGGAAGCAGGAUCGAAGAUGGAAAUUUGCAUUUUACUAGCUAAAUGUACAACCUUUAAUAUAAGUUCUCAAGCAAUUAUUGCAUCAUGGAGUGCAGUUGAUGCAGAUGAAAGGAAGAACAAUAUGUUGCUUUCUUCGGUGCUACGGGAUUGAAUUCAAAACCCGAUCAUAUAACCUACAAUCCUACACUAUAUAUGAACAUGAAAUUACUAAGGAAAGCUUUUGUUACACAGGACAAAACUGAUGACAGGACAACAUCUCUAAGACUAUUCUCAAAGAGAAUUGGGAGUGGGGAGGGGAAGAAAAUUGAUCCAGGUCUUAUGCAUUCCAAAUGCAGGUACAUUCCUACAUAAUAAAGGAGGCUUAAAAGAGAAGAAAAGUGAUACCGAAGAUGCAUAUGAGGAACUAAUCUUGGAAGAACUACAGAAAACACAUACUUAACUACUUGAAAAAUAGCCAAGGUAUGCAACUUAAAUGAAUCCCAGACCAUAAAUUUCCCAAGCCACCAUUUGCAAAAGUGUGCUUCACCUGCAAAAAGAAAAAAAAAAUGAAAAAUGAAAACGACAUCGUUUUGGACGUUGUUGACUGUGGAAAGUGAAAUCAUCUGUGAUUUAAAAAAAAUGUAUUAUCAUGUCAUGUUGACUGCGAAAUUCAAAGACGAUACUGUGAAAAUCAUAACCUAUGGUAUGAAAAUUUGCACAUUGUAGAGGAUGUUAUCUUAUAAGAGAUUGCUUUGUAAAAAAGAGUUAUCAGAACCAAUUGUCUGCAUUUUUUAGCACAAUUUUCACUAUAUUCUUUCUUCUGAUUUCCUUAGCAAUUUUCCACCUUACCCUAUUGCUCUUGUCGAGAUAACAUGAGUUCAAACAUUGUACAUGACUAAUUGUUAUUUUUGUUGGUGGUCGAUGGCAGUUAGAAACAACAUGUUUAUACAAUGCAACAAAUCAAUAUGUUGUUGGUGGGUACUGAUCUAGCAGCAGAAGAGGGACCGGUAGUAAAAGAUGGAAAAAGUUUUGCUAAGAACAGAUACAUAGAAGAGGUAGCAACAAUCAAAUAGGUAUCUGUAUCUCUCUAAAUGAUUCUCACGAUGUUGGUGGAUAUGUUGCGUUCCAAUAACAACUCAAUUCACAAGUAGUUUCUGAAACCCAAUACACGUAUCGACAAAUUCAAUAUGUCGAUCCCAAAAGAUAUUCUGUACCAUAUCAAACACUAAUACCACCAUAUCAAACGUCGGUAACACCAUUUGAAACGCCGAUUGUAUAAUAUCAAAUGCCAAUUAUACAAUACAACCUAUUUUUCCAUUCUAAAAAGUGGGCCGAAAGGAGAGGAAAGUGGUAUUGAAGAUGCAUAUAUAUAUAUAUAUAUAUANCAAGACCAGCUAAGAGUAAACGUAAAUAAGAAUAAAAGGCAAAUACAAGUAGAAAGAAGUAUAUUGAAUCAAAUUGUAUCUGAAUUGAAAGCAACAAAAAGGUGUAUCAAGAUGUUAAACCCAUGAAAUCUCAAACCCAUUGAAAAUCUUUUGUGUAUGCUUGACGGCUUUGAGUUAUGUUAUUAUUUAUUCCAUAUCUUGAUGUGUCUGAGCAUGUUGAUGUUGUAAUUUGAUAACUUUGCAUCAGUUCUGUACUCUUCUCUUUGCGUAACCAUUCUAUUUCAGCUUCCCUUUGGAUUUCACUUGCUGAGCUGAUUUAAGUUCCACCUUCUAAUAUUCUUCAAAUGUUACCUCUUUCUAAACCCCUCAUAAGAAAUGUUCAUGCACAAACUCCCACCUAUUCAAUAAAUCUUGCUAAAUCCCUGAAUCAAAUCACAGAAACCAAUAAAAGAUGAACGUGUAAGAAACUAAACAACACCAAAAACCACAGCAACCAUGCAUGUAGGGUGUUGUUUAUCAUUCAUAAUAACAUAACCAGGACCAAAACUUUCCCCCUUUAGUCAACCGUCUUCGUCCUUUGCAUGAUGAAAGAAAAAAGAAAAUUUACAAAGAGAAGAAUAGAUAAUAAGUGGGUACCUGAUUCUUACUGAACUAUUUGAAAAAUAGACAAAGAUAUGUAACCUAAAUGAGACCUUGUAUUUACAAUUAACUAUUGUUGUUGAUGAUCAAGACAAACCGAGAGUAAAAUCACACAAACCAGUUGUUCUUACUUUAUGUUCAAAAGAGCAGGGACAAAAUAUUAAUCAAUACCUAAACUUUACCCCUUCACCCAAUCAUCUUCUUCCUUAACAUGAAAAACAAGAACAUCUAGAAAAAAAAAAUGGAUAAUGAGUUGAUUACCUGAUUCUUUGUUGGAGCCAUGAAGAUGAAAAUAUCAAUCAAGACCUAACCUUUCCCCCUUCACCNUAUAAAAAAAAAAAAAAAAAAAAAAAAAAAAAAAAAAAAAAAAAAAAAAAGAGGAAAUAGAUAAUGAACCUGAUUCUUAGUUGGAGCCAUGAAGAUGAUAAGUGAUCAAUGCUGCAGCAGAUUGGUGCAAGAGAAGUGACAGGUCAAGAGCACAAUAGCAUACAAAUAUAGUCUAAUCUAAUAACUAGAUAUUAUAUAAAAAUACUGAAUGAUAAAUAUAACAAACAUUUUAAAAUUGAAACCUUUAAACAACAUCCACAUUACAAACAUAGAUCCAAAUAGUAGCAUUAAAACAAAAACUUCAUUCAUAACAUAUAUCCGAGAAUUACUUGCAUUGCAGAGCGCCUAUACAGCUUCUCUUCCUCUCUUGAUCUUGGCAACAACUGUUACCAUGACUGCAACGUAUAUCUUGUCCAUGAUUUUCUCAACAAACAUGAAAAGCCUCCAUCUCCACUGCUUCUUGAACAAGAGAACUCCAAUUACACCCCAAAACCCUGUUGCAAAUCCACUCAUGAUGUCCAGGUAAAACCACCAUACCUUGAUCGACUCCUCAGCUGCUUUAUGUUUCUUCUUGGGCUUUGCUGUUGUUGUUGGGUCUUGAUGAUCUGAGCAAUUGUUUGUCAAUGGAGGUCCACAAAGAUCUCUGUUCCCACCAUAUAUUGAUGGAUCAUCAAUAAGGGUCUGCAAUUGAUGGCCUGUUGGAAUUCUUCCCCACAAGUUGUUGUGUGACAAAUUCAAAUGACUCAAAAAAGUCAAAUCUGCCAUGCUUGGAGGGAUCAUCCCGGUUAACUCAUUGUUUGAGAAAUCUAGAGAAAAUAAUGCCGUCAAGUUUCCAAUGGUGUCUGGAAUAUUCCCACUGAGAUGAUUAUUAGACAAAUUGAGACCCACCAACAUAGAAAGUGCAGUUAUCUCUAUAGGUAUUUUUCCUACAAGUUUAUUGCUUGAAAGGUCCAUGUUAUAAACUAUAUCCAAAAUUCUUGUAUAUUCAAGAUCAACACCUUUCAUAACCUGAAUCACAUUCUCAUUAGAAUCACCCCAGCCAUAAUUGUAAUACCACUUUUCUGCACCAUUAACCAUUGCUUUCAACUCUCUUAGGCAAUGAGGGAUGAUACCCGUUAAGUUGUUGUAUGCAACAUCCAAAAUUUGAAGAUUUGACAUUUUGCAUAAAGAUUCAGGAAUUUCCCCGGUAAAGUUAUUCUUGUGUAAUCUUAAAACAAUCAAACUUGUCAGGUUUUCUCCAAUCCAGUGGGGUAUCUUUCCAAACAAUUGAUUAUCACCCACAUCUAGGACUUUUAAAUCUCUUAAAUUCCCCAACUCUGGAGGAAGUUCACCAAUGAAGUUAUUGUCAUCCAAUUUUAACCAAUUCAAUGAUGAAAGAUUAAGACCUAUAUAGCUUGGAAUGACACCUGAAAGUAAAUUUGAGCUAAAGAUCAUGGCACCCAACCAUUCCAGAUUCUGGAGACACUUGGGAAUUGUCCCUGUUAACCUAUUUCUGGAAAGAUCAAGUAAUUCCAAAUCUGUCCAUCUGCACAAGGACUUCGGAAUUGACUCAUUGAAAAUGUUAUUUGCUAGUAUCAAUACCCAUCGUAUUUCUGGAAGGUUUGUCAAUGGUCCGCUGAGUUUGUUGUGAGAGAGAUCUAAGAAAUCAAUGACAGGCAUCUUCCGCAACCAUCUGGGCAGAGGUCCCGAAAUUGAAGCAUUCGACAACACUAACUCAGAGAGCAAGAACUGAUUCCGUAGCCACUGUGGCAAUCCAUUUGUGAGAUUGCAGGAACUGAGAUCAAGAUGAUACAACUGGAAUGGAGGCAUCCACUUAUGUGAAAAAUUGCAUGUCAGCUUAGAAUUAGAUGAAGCAUUCAAGUACCUCAACAUGGAAAGGUUAGCAAAAUGGGCUUCGGAAACUACUCCUUGUAAGGAAUUGUCUGAGAUAUCUAACUCAUUGAGUUUGGCAAGUUGCCCAAUUGAAACCGGAAUAGUCCCAUUUAACAAAUUUGAAGACAACCGAAUUGCUUGUAAUGAAACAACUCUUCCUAGAGAUGUUGGGAUGGGGCCCGUUAAGUGAUUGGAUUGUAGAUACAAAGAUUCUAAAGCUGCAAGAUUUCCAAAGGAUUCUGGAAUUGAACCAUUCAAUUGGUUAUCAUGUAGAUCUAAUACCUCUAAGAAUCUUAAUCUUCCUAGAGAUUCGGGGAUUGGACCUGUCAAACUGCUCAUUGAUAGAUCUAAGUGUCUUAAAUUGGUUAGUCUUCCAAAUGCUUCUGGAAUCGUACCAUUCAAACACCCACUUAAAUCCAACCGCUCCAAAGCAUAUUGGGAGCAUUCUGAAACGUUUUGCGGUGGGUCAAUCCUUUCUAUUUCAAAAGGAUUUCCAUAUGCAGCCAAUGUUUUCAGGUGACACUGUCUCCAGAUUCCAACAUCCUCAAUAUUCUUAAACUGGUUAACAGAAAGAUCAAGCUCUAGAAGGUUAGCCAUAAUAGGAACCGAAGAAUGCAGCAUGUUUCUUGAGAGAUCAAGGACUCUUAAGGAACUCAUGUUACUGAAAACAGAUGGAAAUAUGCCUUCAAUUGAAUUCCAGCUAAGAUCCAGGUGUUGGAUGUUAGAAAGCAUACAAAGUGACAAAUGCAGCUCUGAUAAAGAAGGGAUCAUGUUUAGCACGUUUGCAAAGUUCCAUGCCAAACUAAGAUUAAAUUUAGAAAGAUCGAGGAAUGCUAGGGAUGUCAUGUUUCGGAAAAAUCCAGGGAGUGGGCCUUUGAAAGAAUUGAAGCCAAGAUCAAGGUGUUUGAUGUUGGGAAGUAUUCUACUCGAAUUAAGAAAAGGACCAAGAUGGGCAUUGGAAAGUCCACAACCAUGCAAACUUAACUCUUUUAACGAAGGAAGAUUGUAAAGCACCAUGCCCAUGUUCUUUGCUCCGCCAAGAUCCACCCAACUCAAGUCGAGAUGCUCGAGUGAUGAAAGGCCAAAAGUCCAUGACAUAUCAUCAUUCCAACUGAGAUCCAAAACCUUUAAAUUAGAAAGAUUUCCAACGUGAGGAGGAAUAAUACCUUGAAAACCAGCAUAAGAGAGAUUGAGAUAUCUCAGCUCUUUGAAGGAACCAAUGAACUCAGGGAACCGGCUUCCUCUAAUAUAAUUCCAACUCAAGUCCAGGUACUUGAGAUGCCUCAACUCAGCCAAAGAAGAGUUCACCUCAUUACCAACUAAGUAGCCUUCUCCUUCACUGUCAGAAGGGUCUCCUCCGAGAUUGAGGCUGUCAACGGUUCCAGUGAGACUGUCACAGUGGAUUCUUUCCCACUGGCAACAAUCCUUACCCACCCAUGAAGACAUCAUUCCAGAAGUAUCUUCAACACUCCCUUUGAACCUGAGAAGAGCAAGUCGUUCUUUCUGGGAGCAAACAACAGUGACAUUUCCAACACCCAAACAAGUAUAUUUCGUUGCAAACAAAAAAACACAUAUGAAAAUGAGAUUGAGCCCCAAACCCCACGGAUUCCCCAUUUAUCAACCCUCCCUAACUCAGUUUAAUUUAGAAGAAAGUUGAAGUGGAAAGAUAGUUUGUUAUGAUGAAGUGAUAGAUUAUUAUGAAGAAGAAACCAGUUCAUUUAUAAUGCCACAAAUGAAGAACAACUUAAUGCCAUGGAAGACUUCAAGUCAAUGGACAUUUGUCUCCACAAGUUGUGUUUUUGUGGUCCAAGUCUGUUCCCCAUGUCAGAUGCAAUUGCAUAUGGAAACAAUUCUUUAAAAAAUUAUAAAUAAAAUGAAGCACAAUAAUUGACAAACAAGCAUUUAGAUUUUUAAGAAAUCCAAGAUAAAUUAUAACCUUUUGUAAAUAGUAGGUGUAAAUCAAUAUAAACUUAAUUUUGAUGUUCAAUCAUUUUACAAAACUAACUACAAGAAAAUAAGUUUUUUUGUUAUUAUUUGACUUGACAAGGCUGGUGUGACAAGCCUAGCUAAUUAAAAGAUACUUUCUUCUGUAACUCUAAAUUAAAGAUAUUAUAUUAUCUUUUAUAAAAAAAAUGUAGCCUUCUCAAAUGCAUUACGGUUUUAUUAGACAACCCAUUCACUUGAAAAUAGAUAUUUGUUUUAUUAAUAAUAAAAAAACCUAUUUUCAUAAUAAUAAAAAUAGUAUAUAAAGAGAUGUUGCGGAGAAUAAAAAGGAAGUGGUGGGGGUUGGUGGAUUUGUGGGACCCAAUGUUUUAAUAAUAACAAAAAUAAGGUAUAAAAAAGUAAUUAAAAAAUAAAAAAUCUAGGAAGGGCAAAAUAGUCUUUUAGGUCAGUUAGGGACGAAAACUGUAACAAAACAAUAUCACAUGGACGAUUUGUUUAAUUUACUCUAGGUUUUUGCUUUUAAAUUUGAUACCAAUAUUGCUACAAAUGAUUAUGGCUUUUAGCGAAUUGGUGUUAUUGAAUUGGAACACUUUUGAUUAGAGUCUAAUGUCCCAUGGCACACAUAAAUGCAUUUGGCCAAAAGUCUUCCACACAAAGACUUUGAAGUCAACAAAGUAACACUCACACACAAAAAAGGGGGCCAUGAUUGAUGCAACUUUCUUGUGGAAUUUUUCCAUGCAACUUCUCCCCAUCAAAUGUAUUCCUCUUUGCUAUUAUUCCAUGAAAAUUUACAAAGUUCAGGAAAAACGUCUUAUCCACUUUAACUAGAAAGAAUUUGCAAACAAAACUGACCCAUGACAUGGAAUGGAGGAUAAUAACCGAGAUCAUGAAGAGACAUGUUGUUCCAGGUAGAUGCACUAAAAAUGACCUAAAGAAACAAAAUAUAAAGAAGCAAAAUAGCCAGGUUAGUCAUGAAACCAUACAUAAAAAAAUUUAAUACAUAAGAGCUUUUUAAUGUUUCCUGUUAAACCAACAUGAAUAUAGAAGAGCUUUUUAUUUUAUUUUAUUUUCGUUUUCUGUGGAUCAAAAUAAGUGGGUUUUGGCAAAGUUUAUUCCGAAUGGCAGAAGCAAAUGUAUUUGACAACAAAUCUAUAAAAUAAAUGAAUUGAAUAUUUGGUAAGAUUACUAUUCAAUUAGAAGUCACUACACAAGACUUGGAAGUCUAUAGACAGUUUUAGCCACAAACUGGUAUGCUCUGGAUCUGGACUGUAUAUUUUUUUUCUAUGCCCCAAGGAACACACAAAUGUAUUUGGCCACAAGUAUUUUUCACAAAAGAAAUUUCAGUCAACAAAGUAAACCCCCCAAAUAAAUAACAUGGACAAAAGAAAAUAGUGACAUGAUUGAUGCACCAAGAAUCUUUUCUUAUGGAAUUUUCCAUACAACUUCUCCCUAACAAAUAUAUUCCACUUUUAUUGUUAUUCCAUGGAAAACAAAACUAGUAUCAGGAAUUCAGGAAUGAAUAAUCAGUCUAACAAACAGUGGCAUGAAGUAACUAUAUUCAGCUCAACUUAAUUUAAUAUUAUCAAUUCUUACGACAAGUUCAAAUGUUGUUAUGUUGAAGAAACCACUUCAUUUAUAAUGCCAUCAAUGAAGAACAACUAAUUUCCAUGCCAUGGAAGACUUGAAGUCAACGGACAUUUGUAUGCACAAGUUGACUUUUUGUGGUCCCCAUGGUAGACAGCUAGACACAAUUGUAUAUGGCAACAAUUCUUUUAAAAAAUAUAAAAUAAAUGACAAACAAGCAUUUAGAUUUUCAAGAAGUAUAGGAUAAUUUAUAAUAUUUUGUAAAUACUAGUUAUAAAUUAUAAACUUGAUUUUGAUGUUCAAUCAUUUUACAAAACUAACUUCAAGAAAAUAAGUUUUUUUGUUAUUAUUUGACUCGACAAGGUUGAUGUGUCAAGCUUAAUUAAAAGAUACAUUAUGUAACUCCACAUUAAAGAUAUUAUAUAUUUUUUUAUAAAAGAUGUAUUUUCUCAAAUGCAUUACGAUUUCAUUAGACAUAACAAUUUCAACCCAAUUAAUUGAAAAAUAGGUAUUUGUUAUAUUAAUAAUAAAAAUACCUAUUUUCAUAAUAAUAUAAAUAGAUAUAUAAAGAGAUGUUGAGGAGAUAAAAACGGGGUGGGGUGGGGGUUGAGGAAUUUAUGGGACCCAAUGUUUUAAUAAUAAAAAAAUAAAGUACAAAAAAUAAUUAAAGAUAUAAAAAAUCUAGUAAGGGAAAAAAUGUAUUUUUAGGUCUGUUAGGGAUAAAAAUCAUAACAAAACAAUACCAAAUGCAUGGUCCGAAUUGAGAAAUAAUAAUAUUAAAUAAGGGACCAAGCAUACAUAUUACCUUAAACCACAGGGACCAUUCAUGCAAUUUACUCUAGUUUUUUUCUUUUAAAUUUGAUACCAAUGUUUUUACAAUUGUUUUUGGCUUUUAACAAAUUGAUGGUAGUGAAUUGGAACACCAUUGAGGAAUUGUCUAUGGCCCAUGGCAUACGUCAAUGCAUUUGGCAAAAAAAGUCUUCCAAACAACAAAGCAAACCCACUAAUCACACACACACACACAAAAAAAAAGAAAAAAAAAAAGGACAUGAUUGAUGCACUAAGUAAGCAUCUUUCUUGUGGAAUUUUCCAUGAAACUUCUCCCUAUCAAAUGUAUUCAUCUUUAAUAUAAUUAUAAGUAUCUUUUAAAUCUAAAAUAAAUUACAAUCAUAUUUUAACCUAAAAUAUCUUUAAUAUAACUACUUUUAAAGAUUAAUGAAAUUAUAUACCAAUAGUUUUUAAGUAAAUACACGAAUGGUCUCUAUGAUUUCAGGUAAUUAGCGUGUAUUGUCCUUUAACCGUUUUUUUAAACUUGGAUGGUCCCUAUGGUUUGGUUUUGUUUCGGGUUUGGUACCCAACAAACUUAAUAUGACUAUCUUGCGCUUAAUAAUAUUUUUCUAUAAUUUUUUAGUUCAUUUUUUAUUAUUAUGUUAUUAUUAAAUAGAGUAAAUUAUUAAUGUCUAAAAUGAUACUUCACCAAACACCAGAUGCUGCCCUUGAAACCACCUCCCCCACCAUUGCAAAAGAUUGAAGGAUCCAGCCUCACACCAUUUUCCCCUCUGUUACAGACAAAAAACAACAUCAUCAUCCAUUCCUGAUGAAAAUCAAAUUCAUACCAAGUUCACUCGAUCAGAUAUAUAAUCUCAACUCUCGUAAAAAUGUUAAAAAAAAGAAACGAAAGAAGAAAUGCACAUAAACCAUCAGUGCAGAAGUUAACUGGAAGCACAAGUUUGGGGACACUAGAAACCAUAUCAUGUACAUCAUGAUCUUGCGCAUGUGUAAGCUUUGACAGCAUGCAGUGCCUACUGAAAAAGGUUUAUUUACUAAUACGAUAAUUAUGGUAUCAUGUACAAAACCUAAUCUGAUUAUAUUGGGAGCAAUUACGUGUACACACAUACAUAUAUAAUAUUUGGCCUGGUAAAACUGUACACACAUAAAUAAAUAAAAAUUCAUUUGUAGGAACUGCUUUCAUAGCAUAUGAAGAAGAACCGGUUCCUAAUAUAGCAGCAAUAUGAAAACAUGUUUUUUUUUUUCAAUUUUCUCACAGUAAAACAAAAGCAAGAGAAAAUAGAGGCUUUUCACGAGCACAGGUCAACAUAGGACUAUAGUCUAUAGGUGAUUCGUUGAUACAAUAAAAAAAUACAAACACUUUUAAGUAUCAAAGGAUCUACUGAGAAGCAGAGGUUUAAUUGAGCUUGAAGCAUUUCCUCCCUUAAACAGGUAAUUACAGAUUACGUGGUGACAUUAUAUCUACCAUUAGGAGCUGCAAGUGUGUUGCAAAACAGAGGCUAUCACCAUCUGCUUAUAUGCAUCAUUACCUUCUCUGUGUUACAGGUCCCAAUUUGUGAGACAAUUAGGUCAGACAGAAUCAUAAAAUCGUAGAUGGAUCAUUUUCCCAGUAUACACCAAUGAAAUUGGAUUAGCAUAUAUGCAUCGUUUUCAACAGCCCUUAAUUACUAUCUUUUUUAUCUUACAGGUCCCAAUUUGUGUGCUUUGUAGCAUUUUCUCAUUUUUCUUAAAAAACAAAUACAGCAAAGUUCAUAAAGUAUAGAAAAUUAGGCCUAAGAAAAAUAGAAAAUCGGAAAACAUACCAAGUGAACACCAUAUGAAUCGGCAGUUUAGGCUUCGCCUUUCCCCGUUCUCGUCUACUUCCCAGUGACGAUAGUUUUGAGAGGACCGGAAAUUUGGGGGAAAGUUUGUUACGAGUAAAUUACAAAUUUGGUCCCUUAGGUUUUGUUUUGUUACAGAUAUAAUCUAUUUAGUAAAAUCUAGGAUAAAUUACGAAUUUUGUACUUUUUGUAUUAUGUCAAAACCUAUGAUUUUUAUCUUUAUUUCUUCGAUCAGACUAUUCAUGUGUAAUGUCCUCAAAAAUAGGUCAAGCAAAUAGAAGCGAGUUAAAGUGUUUAAAGGAAGAAGAAGUGAUGUUGUGUUACUAUGAAAAAAAAAAUGAUGUCUUUAUAAAUACUAGUUGUGGGACCCAUGUAUUAUAUGGGUUGAUUUUUAUUUUUUUUUAAAAUAAAUAUAAAAAUCAAAAUAUUUGAGAACUUUGAAUUUAUAAGAAAAAUAAUGAAUUAUUAUAAUUGAAAUAUUUUUUAUCUUUUAAAUUUAAACAAGUAAUUUAAAUAAAUAAACAAAAGAAGUUAAUAAAGCUUUAAUCUUGGAAUUUUGAAAUUAAAAGGUAAGUUUUAUUAAUGAAAAUUUUCCACAAAAAAGAGGCCAUGAUUGAUGCACUAAAUAAGCAUCUUUCUUGUGGAAUUUUUCCAUGCAACUUCUCCCUAUCAAAUGUAUUCCUCUUUGCUAUUAUUCCAUGAAAAAUUACAAAAGUUGAGGAAAAACGUCUUAUCCUUUGAAGUUUGAAUUAGACAGAAUUUGGCAACAAAACUGAUCCGUGACAUGGAAUGGAGGAUAAUACCCAGGAAGAUGCACUAAAAAUGACCUAAAGAAACAAAAUAUAAAGAAGCAAAAUAGCCAGGAUAAUCAUGAAACCAUACAUAAAAAAAUAUAACACAUAAUUAAUACAUAAGAAAUUUUUAAUGUUUCCUAGGUUAAACCAACAUAAAUAUAAUAAGGGAUUAGUGCAAAAACCAACGCACUUUUAUUUAUUUAUAUAUUAAAGCAUCAUAACCCAUAAGAUAAUGAAUAUAGAAGAGCUUUUUAUUUUAUUUUUUUCAUUUUCUGUGGAUCAAAAUAAGUUUGUUUAUGGCCAAAGUCUAUUCCCCAAGGCAGAAGCAAGUGUAUUUGACAAGAAAUCUAUAAAAAAAAUGAAUUGAAUAUUUGGUAAGAUUACUAUUCAGUUAGAAGUCACUACACAAGACUUGGAAGUCUAUGGACAGUUUGUUUGUAGCCACAAACUGUAUAAAAAAAAAUGAAUUGUAUAUUUUUCACAAAAGAAAUUUGAGUCAACAAAAUAAACCUCCAAAUAACACGGACACAGAAAAAUAAUGCCAUGAUUGAUGCACCAAAAAUCUUCCUUAUGGAAUUUUCCAUGCAACUUCUCCCUAAAAAAUAUAUUCCUUUUUUAUUGUUAUUCCAUGGAAAACAAAACUAGUAUCAGGAAUUCAGGAAUGAAUAAUCAGUCUAACAAACAGUGGCAUGAAGUAACUAUAUUCAGGUUAACUUAAUUUAAUUAAUAUUAUCAAUUCUUAUAUAUGAUAAGUUCAAAUGUUAAUUAACAUAUUCCAUAACUGAUAUUUUGUAAUUUUUACAUAUGUACUAUCAUAGAAACAUCACAGAUUUAAUCUAAUGAAUGAGAAAGAGUGUAAAACAAAAAACAAUGUCUUUAUCAAUGCCAUAAAUCAUGAAGAUUUUAUUUUCAUUUCCUAAAAUAUCACUUCUCAAACAACUUCUGCUUAACCCUCAACUUUCAUUUUACCCUCAGUUGGUCCUCUAAGUUGCACUUCUUCAUGAAAUUAAAUACAGUAUGAUUUUGAGGGACAAUUCCAACCCAUUUAUAGGUAAAUGGACAGUCAUUAAAUGUUUAUUAAAAUUUAAAAGAUUAAUAUUUUACUUUUUUUAGAUUAAUUUAUAACAGCUUUCCUGAAAUUUUUACUUUUUACUAACUAAAAUAGGAUAUCCAUAUAUAAAGAUUUCCCUUUAUAAAACCCAUUAUUCAACCGAUGAAAAAAAAAACAAAAUACAAACAUUGAUUUUUCCUUCUAUUAAGUCGAUGAAAUAACAAUUCAACGGAAAAAACAAUAUCGCAAAUAUGCUUUAAGAUAAAUUUUCAUGAUUAUCAAUAAUAUCAAUUUAAAAGAAGCUUUGAAAUGGUGAAUCAAUAUUUGUUCAACUAAUUGUUAGAUACAUAUAAAAAAAAUUGAACUGGGCAUGUAACCUUUACACAUUAUUUGGUGCUCUCUCUUUAUUAGAACUAAUGCUGAUUUUUAUUAAAUGACAAUGUUGUUAUUUACCAAAUUUCAUUUCAUUUAAACGUCCAUAAAUACGAACUAAAAAACAUGUUGGAAUAGUUCAUUUCGAUCCUAUAGACCAAAGAAACAUGAUAGUGAAAUGAUAAUUAUCUAUCUUAUUGCCAUGUUCUUUAGAUUUCUAUGUUCAUUCAAUUAUUUGUGAUUCCACCCACGCCUAAUGCCCCAUAGAUCGUUUGAAUUGUAUAUGAACAACAAUCAAGUUUAGCUCAAAUGGUAAAAAGCACCUACCUGAGUUCCCUUUGUUGAAAAAUAGGAGAUAAAAAAUACCAACGAAAAACUAUAAGUUUUCAUUCAAUGACUUUAAAGUCAACAAAAAACUAUAAACUUGAUUUUGACAUAUAAAAGUUUUACAAAACUAACUUGAAGUUUUUGAUUAUUCAACUUUAACAGAUUAUGAGGAGACAUAAUCUCAUGUGGUAGAAGCAACUACUUUUUAAUAGGUUAUCAGUCUCACAAUAUAAGAAAUAUUGACUUGCAUAUGAUGGAUCUUGCUACUGCCUAUUUGUAGUUUUGUACUCCUCCCAUGAUACCAAUCUUUUAUAUAAACUUUUACCUCCCUCAAAAGAUUUAAACCACCAUAAACAAGUAAGAUGGGAUCUCAAGAACACUAUUUGAUCAAAUUAAACAAGUCAUUACAUAUUUUGUUGCUAAUCAUACAAGACUUGACUUUGGUUAAGACCCCUUUCAACCUUUUAAAGAUUCCAAGGAAAUUGGUGGUCCAAAGCACAUUUAAGUGUCAUUUAAACAAGUCAUUAAUAUAUCUUGCUAAUAAUAAGAUGAAUUAUUAAAAUCAUACAUAUACAUGUUAUCCUUUAGAAGAAUGAUAUAAUAGUUAAGUAUGUGAUCUUGGCAUCUUGCUAACAUAUAUCAUCAUUAAGUAAAUUAAAAAUUAAUAAAUAGAAAUUACAAUCUCAAUAUAUAUAUCAUCUAUCAUUUUCUUGAAAUUUUACCCAAUUCUAAAGGGAUUCCCGGGAUUUUGUUUCUGUUGCUGUUUUGUUGUGUAAUUGUUUAAAUCUUUGUUUUCUUCUAUUUUUUAAAAAACAUUACUGUAAUGAUUAUGAAACUUCAAGUGUUCCCAUAUCUUUGCUUUAGAAAUGUGUUCUUCAACUACAACAUCUCUUCAAAGUUAUAACCAGAUUUGACAGUUACCCAUGUUCUUUAUCUGAAAAGUAUUACAUCUGACUCGGAAUAAAUAAUUCUAUGUGGAAGAAGGUAUGUAAGACAAUGACUUUUGUAACUAUUAAUCUAUUAACUUAAAUACUUACACUUUGGUAUUUGGUAAUUUAUUUAAUUACUUAUUUAUGUUUUAUGAAUAUAUGUAAUUGAAGUAGAAAGUAAUUGUGGUCAACAAGAUUUUCUUCUAUGGUUACAGCACCAGUUAUUUUCAUGUUUAUUGUAGCAUUUGAGCAUCUAUUCGUUUAUCUCCAAAAAUCAAAUAAAUUCAUAUCAAUUUUACACUUGAUCGUUUGGUAUUCAAAAUCAAAGAAGAAGAACCAACUCUAUACCUAUGAUAUCAUCUGGCUAGAACAUGUCAAAAUAGAACCUAAUGUGAUAAUAUUGGAAGUAAGUACACACAUACAUGCUGGGUUUCCUCAUAACUAUUCCCCCAUCCUUGGAUAAACCAAAUAAAAUUAUACAUAAAUAAAUUGAUACAUCAUUUGUAAGAACUUUCAUGGAAUAUGAAGAAGAACCAAUUCUAUAAUUAUGCAGCAUUGCAAGAAAUGUUUUUUUUUUUCCAAUGCUGCAGCAACUAAUACUCUAGGGUUGAUGUGUACUGAUCAAAAUAAGUGAUUGGUUGGUUGAUAUAAUAUGAUACAAGCACUUGCGUAAGCACCAAAGGAUCUACUAAGAAGCAGGGGAGAUAAUUUAGUAUAAAGCAUUUGCUACAGAUUAUAUUUAGCAUUGGGAGCUGCAAGUGUGUUGCAGAACAAGGCCAUCAGGAUCAUUUGAAACAUAUAAAUAUAUAAAUGCAUCAUUUUUAAUGAUGCUAAAUUUCAAUCUUCUCUGUGUUAUGGGUCCCAACAUGUGAAAAUUAGGUCAAAUAGAAAAAAGAAGGAAAAAAAAACUUACGAGGUUAAUAUUGUCGACAACGACUGAGGAAUGAAGGAGAGGGAUGAAUCAACAAUUGAUGGCUUUGGAUUUUCCUUGUCCUCGCCUCUUCGCUGGUAGUGACGGAGGAUAGGGUAUGAGAACGCGAUCGUCGACGGAGGAAUAAACAAAAGGAGAUUUUGGGGGAAAUUGUGUGUGGGCCACGAGUCUUCUUGCUGUAAAAAAUAAAUUUUGGCUCAUUUGAAUUUUGCGUAUUUUGUGGUAAUAUUAAAUUUUAUUCGUUCAUCAUUUUUUAUGGUUUUUUAUAGACAAAACUGCACAAAUGGUCCCUGUGGUUUGUCAAAAAUUGUCACUUUGGUCCAAAAAAGUUUGGGCUAGCACCAGAGGUCCAAAGUUUUCAUUUUGUUGCUUGUUUGGUCCAAUCUAUUAUGAUUUUUUUCAAAAUGACGGAUUUGCCCCUGUUAAUAUGAUUUUUUUUCUUUGUUUCUUAAUUGUUUUUUUGAUUUUCAGAUUCAAAAAAAAUAAAAAUAAAAUUAAAUCUCUCUCUCCUCUCUUUCUCUCUAUUUCUUUCUCUCUCCUCUCUCCUCUAUCUCUUUCUUCAAUCUUCCUUCUCGUCACUCCUUUUUUCUUCGACUCCCAAAUACCAACUGUACCACCAAUUCCAAUAUCAGUCACAAACCGACGGCCGAACACCAUGGCUCCGUUCAACCCUGCAGUCUGGAAAUCAGACUGUUACUGUGCCCCGGCACAUGAUUCUCCGGCUAGGUGUUGCUGUGAUUCGGCACCGGCCCUACAACUUGAACGGAUCUUCACCUACUAUGUUGGGUACUAGGUUUACCAACUAUCUACAACUAACUGUAUACUCUGGCUAUGUACUGUUGUAGAAGAUUGAGUUGAUUUAGAGAGCCAAUUAAUGGAGGAAUUGGACCGGAGACUAAGCUAGACAUAAGGUCGAGCACCUGGAGUGCACCCGUCUUCUUCCUCAUGAACAUCAUCAUCUUCUUCCUCUCUUCAUAUUCCAACCAAUACCACCACCCAUCUCUGCCUCCGUCGAUAGUUGGGUGCUUUAGAACCCAAGAUUUGAGAUAAUUUGACACAAUGUUGUUGAGCCCUUGCUACUUGAAGUCGAUCAGAUCUAUCACCUUUCUUACUCUGCUUCCCUGUUAAUUACAAACACAAUCCAGUCAAUACAUUUAGAUUAGAGCACGCUUCUUGCUAAUAAGCACCAGUGAGGAGAUAAGUUGAAGAACGAGGGAGAUGGCGGUGAAGAUUGAUGUCGCUGCUAAAAUGAUAUUGGCGUUGAAGGUGGGUUUCAAUGAGAAAAGGGGUGGCAGAGCAGGAGGACCACGAUGGAGACGAUGGUGGUGGGAGCUAAGAGUUUUUUCUAGGUUUUUUCUUUGUAUGGUUUUCCCUAUUUGUUCUAAAUGAAGAUUCAGUAUUAAUUUAUGGUAAAAUUGAUUUUGAUUUUAUAAAAUCAAGAGAGAGAGAGAGAGAGAAAGAGAUAGAUGAGAGAGAGGGAGAGAGAGAGAGAAAGAGAUAGAUGAGAGAGAGAGGGAGAGAGAGAGAGAGAAAGAGAAAGAAAAGAGAGAGAGAGAGAGAGAGAGAGAUUUAAUUUUAUUUUUUUUUUAAUCUGAAAAUCAGAAAAACAAUUAAGAAAAAACCAAAAAAUCAUAUCGACAAGGGCAAAUCCGUCAUUUUGAAAAAAAAUCAUAAUAGAUUGGACCAAACAAGCAAUGAAAUGAAAACUUUUGACCUCUGGUGCUAGCCCAAACUUUUUUGGACCAAAGUGGCAAUUUUUGACAAACCACAAGGACCAUUUGUGCAGUUUUGUCUUUUUUAUAUUUUAUUAAAUUUCAUAGGAUAAUAAAUAGAUAUUAAUUUUAAUAAUUCACUUUCUAAAUUUAAAAUUUCUAAUUGGAGAAUUCAAUCAUAUUUUAAUGUCAUUAAAUUAGGAACAAAAUUAACGGAUGUUUUUGGUAAAUAUAAUUUCUAUAUCUUCCUCGUUAUAUUUGAUGCGACAUUAACCUCUGACGAUUCUUUUGGUCUUCUGCUGCUGCGGAGAUCUGCUAGUCACAAUCAGAGAGAUGCGUUAGAGUCGUCCCAGGGACUGUGCCUCGGGUGCGGACACCGAUGAUCAAGUUAGAUCAGCUGAUAGAUCUGAGAUGGUCCUAAAUAGCUGGAGAGAACCAUCUUGGUGCUGGUGGUGGUGUAUGGUGGCUGAUGGCGGCGGAUGGCGGUUGAGCCACCCGGCAUGUGUAUAGUGUGGCGGCUAAGCUAAGGGGAAGAUCCCCCUCCAUGGAGGAGGUACUGUUCAUUAUAUAGGGGACAAUUAGGUCAAGGGGAAUUAGGUCAGGCCUUGGGCCCGCCUAAUUCAGGCCCAACUAGCAAGGAGUUGGGCAAGGCCGCUCGGAGGCACCGGGCGGCGCUGGUGAGCGCGCACCAGGAAAGAUUGGCAAGGGGCACUAGGCAAAGGAGCAUCGGGCCGGGCCGGCAGGAGAGUCCCCAGCAUGGCUGGCAAGGGAGCACCAGGAAAGGCUGGCAAGGGGACACUAGGCAAGGCUGGCGGGAGCGCGCCAGGCCAAGCUGGCGCUUUAGAGUGGUCUAGGCCAUGCUAAUGUACCAUAUAUCAUCAAGUCCCCCCAGUCUGGUGUUAUUGGUACGCGGCCAAUGACAUCGGACUAGAACUAGUCAUAUAAACUAGCAGGAGAGUCCCCAGCGAGGCUGGCAAGGGAACGCCAGGCAUGGCUGGCAGGAGCGCGCCAGGCCAGGCCGGCGCAUAGAGCAGUCUGGGCCAUGGUAGUGGACCAUAUAUCAUCAAGUCCCCCCAGUCUGGUGUUAUUGGUACGCGGCCAAUGACAUCGGACUGGACUUAGUCAUAUAAACUGUGCGUCAUCAAGUCCCCCUAGUCUGAUGCGAUUGGGUUGCUGACAAUUGGAUCGGACUAGAUAAAGCACCAAUAUAUCAAAGAAUAGAGAGAACGUUCGAACCUUGCCCACGAGAGUCGUGGUGUUGCGUGAUGAGCCAAGCAUUACUUAUGUAGCCUUGACUAGAUACUCCUUCGUUGAGAGGAGUGCGAGGUUGCUAAAGAGUGUUACGCGACACUAAUGUCGAUAAAAUGUUUGGCCAGUGUAGCUAAGGAGUGUAAGCUCGCCAUACAGUCUCUAAGACCGUUAUUCGACACGAUUGUUGUGGUAUUCAUGCGCAUAUGGAGCUUAGCGUCCAACAAUCUAUGUGUCUGGCCCGGGUGAUCAGCUCGUGUUGAAGUGUAAUGGCGUCUAAUGCUUUGCUGUAUCACUAGUUUGGUGAUUGGUGCUUCGCUGUCUUGGCUAUCUGUCGAAGGCUAUGUAACGAUGCUACUUAGAGUUGUAUAAUGUAGUUGUUAUCGAGUGGUGCACAGCGAGACUGCCGUCGAGAGCUGGUCAACAUGGCCGCUGAGAGCUGAGCAUCGAGCUGCUAGCGAUACAUGAGCAACAUGACCACUGAGAGUUGGGCAACGAGUCUCCCGAGGAUUGAACCACGAGGCUGCUCUUAUGAUCUGGAAUAUGGGUGUCACCCUGGGGGUGCACUGUCAUGGACAACAUCAGCUCUUCCUGUACACUAACUUUACCCAUUCGGAGUAAAAAUUACUUCUGCAUAGUAUCGCAGCAACCCUACCCCCCCCUUUUUUUAAAGGAGACGAGGAAUAGAAACGAUGGAUGAAUAGUUGCAGGAAUUUGGGCAACACAGCUACUGAGAAAAGCUAAGCGACCCAAGUACCAACAAAAACUGGGCAGCGCAACUGGCAUGACUGCUGGGAGUCAGGCAAUGUAAUUGCUGAUGAUUGGGCUGCGCAACCGCUGGGAGUUGAGCAACGAGACUAGCAGGGGCCAAUCAACAUAAAUGGUGAGGGUUGAGUAGCAAGAUUGCUUGAAGUUGGUCAACACAGUUGUUGAUAGCCGCGCAACGCAGCUGCUGAUUGUUAUUUCGAAAUGAUUCACUAGUAGUAGUAGCGUAUUACUCUUCUCCCACCCCCCUCCCCUUUUUUUUUGGAAAAGUUGUCGAGAGUUUGAGUCGCAACGCAUUCUGAUGAGCGAAACUUGCGUUGCGCAUGUAACGCCCUGUUCUAAAAGUAUUCGUUCGUGGAUUUCAAAAACCAAAGCUAGGGGUGUUUUGGUCAUUUAUGGGAUUGGAGUUUAUUUUGAGAAGGUUUUGGGGCUGAGACAUGCUGCUAGAAGCGUAGGGCUUCUCGCCACCUUUCUGUGGAUAUAAAGUUCAUCAGAAACGGAUUUAGAAUGAAGAAGAUAUGACACUUUGAAGAUUUGGCAAUAAUGGCCCUUAAGGAGAAAAGUUCGCAUGUAAGGCCAUGCACGCAUGUUUGGAACACGCGUGGGUACGCCCAACGUAAGCUGGGUUACGCCCAGCAUACUGGGGCAACUUGGUCGCGGAUGUUCAAGGCGUACGCCCAACGUACAUGGAGGUACGCCCAGCGUAAGCUAAAAGUCAUGAAACCCUAAUUUUUGGGUUGAACAUUAUAUAAAGAACAUGUUGGCUUCAACCCUAACCCCAUUUCAGCCUCCCCAACCUCAGAAGAAACCCUAGAACAUCCCUACCCUCAUUUAGGUCAAGCACUACUUCUUUCGGAGUUUGGUGAGUUCUUGUGAAACAGCGAAGAAGGUUUGGGAUAUGAUGAAAGAACUCUAGUCGAGUGAUGCAGAUCUUGAGCAUUUAGGUCAAGCACUACUUCUUUCGGAGUUUGGUGCUUUUGCUCAAAAGCCAGAUGAGAAACUCUAUGUUGACUUCAACUUGACAUGCUCCUUUGGAUUGUUAUUUGGGUUUAGCUCUAACAAUGACUAUAUAGUUAGAAUAAUGGUUUUAUGUUUAUUGGGGUGAUAAAAGCAUUGCCAUUCGGAACCAUUCAUUUCAAAGGGAUUAUAUAUGAAUGGAUUUCUACAAGAACUUUCAUGUUUACACUAUGGUUUACUCUGCUUUGUUGCAUUUAUCAUUUUCACUGCACCAAUUGUUGUAGAAAUACAUAAAUAAUUAUGUAAAAACAAAAUCACACAUAUGUCCUUUUUUGUUUAUAUCGACACAAUCAUAAAACUUCAUUCAACAUAGAAAAUGUGACACUUAUGUAUAAAUAGUUUAUUCUUGUCUUAUAGUUAUUCACUUAAGGGAGGUUUUGGUUUGGUUGAAUUAGACUCCUAAGAGAUUUAACAAUGUGGUUGUGGCUCUUAUAAAGAAACAUUGUGUAAUCUAAACAACUUCAUGAUAUCCAAAAUGGUGGAAAUCAUAUUUUGUAAGCAUGGUAUAUCUUUCAUCAUCUUUAACCAUGUUCUUACUCAUAAAAUUGCUUUGUUUGAACUUUGACGGUUUUCGGAUUAUGUUUUACUAAUAGUCAAAUUUGAUAAAUAGUGGAACCUUAUUGAUUAAAUCAAUGAGAUUAACAUUAAAUAUUUGAUCAAUAGUGGAACCUUGUCAUAUAAUCAUCUGGUUAAUUGCUUGGUCUUCUAUGUUACAAAAUCAAAUUGAACAAGAUGAUGACAAGUUUCAAAAGAAACAAAGAAGCAUGGAUCGAAUAUAGGAUAAUAAUCUGCAUUUUACAAGCUAAAUGUACAACCUUUAAUAUAAGAAGUUCUCUAGCAAUUGUUUCAUCAUGGACUAUAUUUAAUGUACAUGAAAGGAAGAACAAUGUGUUGCUUUCUUCAAACACUACAUAAAUGAAUUCAAAACAACCUAAACUAUAUAUGAAGAUGAAAGUACUAUGGUGGCUUUUGUAACACAAGGCAAGAUUUCUAAGACUAUUUUCAAAGAGGGUCGGGGGUGGGGGGACUGAUAUCUUUUGCACAACCAAAGAACAAGAGCAAGUCACCAUCUCAUCUUUUUGGGCAGGACAAAAAAUUGCAAUUUGUCUCAUUGGCAUUAAUCCCGGUUUUAGCACACCAAAUAUUGGUACAUUUCUAUGUAAUAAAGGAGAUGUAGAAGAGAAGAAAAAUGAUACUAAAGAUGUAUAUGAGGAACUAAUCUUGGAAGAAAACUAUAGGAAACAAGUACUUAACUACUUUGAAAAAUAGAUCAAGAUAUGAAACAUAGAUCCAAAUAGUAGCAUUAAAACAAAAACUUCAUUGAUAACAUAUAUCCGAGAAUUACUUGCAUUCCAGAGGGCCUAUACAGCUUCUCUUCCUCUCUUGAUCUUGGCAACAACUGUUACCAUGACUGCAACGUAUAUCUUGUCCAUGAUUUUCUCAACAAACCUGAAAAUCUUCCAUCUCCAGUGCUUCUUCAACAACAGAACUCCAAUUACACCCCAAAACCCUGUUGCAAAUCCACUCAUUAUGUCCGGGUAAAACCACCAUACCUUGAUCGACUCCUCAGCUGCUUUAUGUUUCUUCUUGGGCUUUGCUGUUGUUGUUGGGUCUUGAUGAUCUGAGCAAUUGUUUGUCAAUGGAGGUCCACAAAGAUCUCUGUUCCCACCAUAUAUUGAUGGAUCAUCAAUAAGGGUCUGCAAUUGAUGGCCUGUUGGAAUUCUUCCCCACAAGUUGUUGUGUGACAGAUUCAAAUGACUCAAAAAAAUCAAAGUUGCCAUGCUUGGAGGGAUCAUCCCGGUCAACUCAUUGUUUGAGAAAUCAAGAGAAAAUAAUGCCGUCAAGUUUCCAAUGGUGUCUGGAAUAUUCCCACUGAGAUGAUUAUUAGACAAAUUGAGACCCACCAACAUAGAAAGUGCAGUUAUCUCUUUAGGUAUUUCUCCUACGAGUUUAUUGCUUGAAAGGUCCAUGUUAUAAACUAUAUCCAAAAUUCUUGUUUAUUCAAGAUCAACACCUUUCAUAACCUGAAUCACAUUCUCAUUAGAAUCAUCACCACCAUUACUGUCAUACCACUUUUCUGCACCAUUAACCAUUGCAUUCAACUCUCUUAGGCAAUGAGGGAUGAUACCCGUUAAGUUGUUGUAUGCAACAUCCAAAAUUUGAAGAUUUGACAUUUUGCAUAAAGAUUCAGGAAUUUCCCCGGUAAAGUUAUUCUUGUGUAAUCUUAAAACAAUCAAACUUGUCAGAUUUUAAUUUGAGUUCCCAUGAGAUUCAAUUUCAUUAUAAUCUAAUCUGACAUCUAAACAACACCUAUAUUACAAAUGUCAUACAUAUAUAAAAUCCAAAUAGUAGCAUAAAUAAGCACAAUAGGUGUAUUAAGAAGUAAAACAAUCAUAACUAAUAUACACUUAAGAAAUAUUGUCAAUGGUUUCCUCCACAAACGUGAAAAGCUUCUGUCUCCACUGCUUCAUGAACAACAAAAGUCCAAUAACACCCCAAAACCCUGUUGCAAAACCACACGUUACAUCUACGUAAUACCAUGUCUUCAACCAUGCUUUGGUAGGCGCAUCAGUUUGUUUGUAUUUCUUCUUGGGCAUUGUUAUUGUUGUUGUUGUUGUUUGGUCUUCAUGCUUUGAGCAAUUGUUUGUCAAUGGAGGUCCACAAAGAUCUCUGUUCCCACCAUAUAUUGAUGGAUCAUCAAUAAGGGUCUGCAACUGAUGGCCUGUUGGAAUUCUUCCCCACAAGUUGUUGUGUGACAGAUUCAAAUGACUCAAAAAAGUCAAAGCUGCCAUGCUUGAAGGAAUCAUCCCGGUCAACUCAUUGUUUGAGAAAUCAAGAGAUUCUAACCUCAUCAUGUUUCCAAUGUUUUCUGGAAUUCUCCCACUGAGAUGAUUAUUUGACAAAUUGAGACCCAACAACAUAGAAAGCGCAGUUAUCUCCACAGGUAUUUCUCCUACAAGUUUAUUGCUUGAAAGGUCCAUGUUAUAAACUAUAUCCAAAAUUCUUGUAUAUUCAAGAUCAACACCUUUCAUAACCUGAAUCACAUUCUCAUUAGAAUCAUCACCACCAUUACUGUCAUACCACUUUUCUGCACCGUUAACCAUUGCAUUCAACUCUCUUAGGCAAUGAGGGAUGAUACCCGUUAAGUUGUUGUAUGCAACAUCCAAAAUUUGAAGAUAUGACAUUUUGCAUAAAGAUUCAGGAAUUUCCCGGUAAAGUUAUUCUUGUGUAAUCUUAAAACAAUCAAACUUGUCAGGUUUUCUCCAAUCCAGUGGGGUAUCUUUCCAAACAAUUGAUUAUCACCCACAUCUAGGUCUUUUAAAUCUCUUAAAUUCCCCAACUCUUGAGGAAGUUCACCAGUAAAGUUGUUGUCAUUUAAUUUUAACCAAUGCAAUGAUGAAUGACUAAGUGCUAUAUAGCUUGGAAUGACACCUGAAAGUAAAUUUGAGCUAAGGAUCAUGGCACCCAACCCUUGCAGAUUCUGGAGACAUUUGGGAAUUGUCCCUGUUAACCUAUUUCUGGAAAGAUCAAGUAAAACUAAAUCUGUCCAUCUGCACAAGGACUUCGGAAUUGACUCAUUGAAAAUGUUAUUUGCCAGUAUCAAUGCCUGACCUGUUUCUGGAAGGUUUGUCAAUGGUCCGCUGAGUUUGUUGUGAGAGAGAUCUAAGAAAGCAAUGACAGGCAUCUUCCGCAACCAUGUGGGCAGAGGUCCCGAAAUUGAAGCAUUCGACAACACUAACUCAGAGAGCAAGAACUGAUUCCGUAGCCACUGUGGCAAUCCAUUUGUGAGAUUGCAGGAACUGAGAUCAAGACCAUCCAACUGGAAUGGAGGCAUCCACUUAUGUGAAAAAUUGCAUGUCAACUUCGUGUUAGAAGAAGCUUCCAAGUAACUCAACAUCGAAAGGUUAGCAAAAUGGGCUUCGGAAACUACUCCUUCUAAGGAAUUGUCUGAGAUAUCUAACUCAUUGAGUUUGGCAAGUUGCCCAAUUGAAACCGGAAUAGUCCCAUUUAACAAAUUUGAAGACAACCGAAUUGCUUGUAAUGAAACAAGUCUUCCUAGAGAUGUUGGGAUGGGGCCCGUUAAGUGAUUGGAUUGUAGAUACAAAGAUUCUAAAGCUGCAAGAUUUCCAAAGGAUUCUGGAAUUGAACCAUUCAAUUGGUUAUCAUGUAGAUCUAAUACCUCUAAGAAUCUUAAUCUUCCUAGAGAUUCGGGGAUUGGACCUGUCAAACUGCUCAUUGAUAGAUCUAAGUGUCUUAAAUUGGUUAGUCUUCCAAAUGCUUCUGGAAUCGUACCAUUCAAACACCCACUUAAAUCCAACCGCUCCAAAGCAUAUUGGGAGCAUUCUGAAACGUUUUGCGGUGGGUCAAUCCUUUCUAUUUCAAAAGGAUUUCCAUAUGCAGCCAAUGUUUUCAGGUGACACUGUCUCCAGAUUCCAACAUCCUCAAUAUUCUUAAACUGGUUAACAGAAAGAUCAAGCUCUAGAAGGUUAGCCAUAAUAGGAACCGAAGAAUGCAGCAUGUUUCUUGAGAGAUCAAGGACUCUUAAGGAACUCAUGUUACUGAAAACAGAUGGAAAUAUGCCUUCAAUUGAAUUCCAGCUAAGAUCC